AAGCAGUUAAGAAAAUUAAAUCACAACUCAGAAAUCACAACUGAAGGUAAUCAAUUCAUAUUACAAAUAUAUUCAUGGCUUUGAAUUAACCUCUAGCCAAAAUAAAUUUAGUUACACAUUAUUAUCAAAUUAAACCAAAAGUAAAACAUGGGUUUGAGAAGAUAAAACCAAGAAAAGAAGAUCUGCUGCGUCCGUGCCUUUGUGAUCUGCUUCCUCUUCUCUGACCUUCCCUCUGUGCCGUGCUUUCUGUUUCUUCGCUGCAAGACUCUGACCUGCCAAGGCAGCUCUCUGCUUCCUUAAUUUCCACUCAACCCCUCUCUCCUUAUUCCGCUGUUUUUCUCGCUGCCUAAGGCAGCUUUCUGCUCCCCGCCCCCUUGGUCUUCACUUUUCUCCCUCUUUUUAUUAUUUUCUUUCCCCCUUGGUCUCCCCGUUUGACCUGCCUUCCAUCUCUUUUAUUUUAUAUUUUUCUGCUGUCCAGUCCUCCACUUCAUUCCUCCACUUCCUUUCUUUAUUUCUCCAUUAUUCCCAUACCUUCCCACUUCUUUAUUUUCUCAUAUAUCCCCCUCAGUGCCGCACUUCCUCUUUCAUUUUAUUUCUUCUUCCUGCCAGUCACUCCCUCGGUUUCUCGGUUUCUCCUGCUUCUGUGCUUCUUCCAAUCAGUUUUAUUUUAUUUUCUUUCUUUUCUCCACCAUUCGUGUCUGCCACUUCUUUAUUUCUUUUUUUUAUUUUUCCUUUGCUGCUUGCUGUCAGUCUUUUCAACAUCUCAAUUACCAUCAGGUCGGGUGACAACAUUCCACAUAUAACUAAAGAUAUCUUCACACAAUUUACUGAUACAAUUGAGCAAACACAACCACAAAUACAUUUCAACAAUGAUUACUUAAAAGAUACAACUUCCAUGGCACCGAAAGUAAGCAAUAUCAGAUAAAACGAUUAUUUUAGCAUAUACAUGAAUCAUGAUGAUGUUUCAAACAUCAUCAUGACUCAUCAUUAUUAUUUUUCUUUUUAAUUUUAUUUAAAAGCUGAUCUACACAGACAAUUUUGACGAAUUUAUUACAUAAAAUUUCACUUGUUCUAUUUUUAUUUUCUUUGCUAGACAAAUCCUAUAAUACGCAAAAACAAAGUAAAUAGCUCAAAAAUAUAAGGAACUAACUAAGAAAAGACGAGUGAAUUCGAAGUAAAAAUAUAUAUAAAUAUGAUCCGAUCAAUUAGCUUUGGUUCUACCAGUUGUUACUACUUCAGUUGAGAGAGCUUUUUCUACUAUAAGUAUUGUGAAGACUCCGUUGCGUAACCGAAUGGGAGAUCAAUGGUUGAUAGGAUGGUGGUUUAUAUUGAGAGCAAUGUUUUUUCUUCCAUUGACAAUGAAGCUAUAAUGCAAUGUUUUCAAAAUAUGAAAACACGUCGGGGACUAUUGUAACUUGUGUUGUUAUUUGUUCUAUAAGUUAUGAAUGAUGGAACUAUGGUUUAAUUUUUAAGGUUAUUAUAUGUCUAAGAAAUGUUUGUAAACUUUUACAUGUGACCCCCUAAAAUAUUUUUCCUAGAUCUGCCAUUGGCCGAUGGGUUCCAAAUGAGCGGGCUUGCUGACAUUUAUCAAAAUCCCUAAAUUUGUUGGAAUUAGCUUAAAAUAAAAACUUAGACAACACGAACAAUCCAUGUUGCCGCGCUUCAUGAUAUUCGUCAUCGUUUAUGCUGAAUGAACAAAUUAUCAAAUUGCAAAUGGAGUCGAUACAUAGCAAAAGUGGAGUCAUGGAUCAAGGAGUAGCGAGCCAAGCUCCUCAAGGUUUAUUAGGGGCCAAUGCAGUGGAGGACGAAGUGGCUAUGGCUUGCCAAUAAGGGGAGCACCGCCGCAGGAUCCACCAGGUGUACUAAUAAUUUGAAAACUAAAUCAAAGUGAAAAGCUUUGUCCUUUUUGAAAACUCAAACGAAGAGGGAAGGGGAGGGGUAAGAAAAGAAGGCAAAAGUAGGGCUGGGCACAGGCCGGGCCCACUGGUCCUUUUUUUUUUUGGGAAAAAAAACACCAAAUUUUUACAACAGAUCCAAUCGCCGGCAGCUCAAUUUUCCCUGGUUUUUCCGACUCGUUUGAAUUCAACUUCGAUUUCUUCAAACCCAGCAUGAAAACAUGAAAUUUAGUGGCCGAUUUCAAUAAUGAGAUGGCGAAUUAGCUUGGAGUAGGAUUCUUCAGAUGGGUUGAACUCAAUCGAUGAGGGCUUAAUGGGCACAAGCUUCAUUUUGAAGAACAAGUCGUCGAAUGGAGAGAGUCAGAUUCGGGUUGUCCAUUUUGUCCUGGCUCGACCCAGAAGAGACAAUGAAGUUAAACUCCCCAUCUCAAUCCUUAGUGUCAUCAGACUCCUCGUUGUCGCCGUCGCUGUCAUCUUCUUGCCGAGCUUCCUCGUUGUGGUUUUAAGCAGCCGCUUCGUCUUUGUCGAGGAUGGCGAACUCUAACCAUGUCUAUGUUGUUAAGGACGAGGGUGGCAGCAAGUAAGCCACCGCCGCGCCAGUACUUGAGGAAGCUGAAAGUUUCCAUGGUUGGGAGAGCGAAUAUAAGGCAGAAGAAGUAGGUAUACUGAGUAAUUACAAACAAGUCAGUUUUGGGCCCCCUUUUUCUAUACAUUUGGACCCGACCUGCCCCUAAAACUUUAAGGCCCUACCCUGCCCCGCCUCGUUUCUUUCAUGUAAAAAUUGGAACUGACCCGUACCCGCCCCGACCCACGGUUUCUAUACCCAUUUGCCCACCCCUAGGCAGAAAGGUUGCGUGAUUUAUUUAUUUUUUAAAUCAGGAUUAUUAUUUUAUUAGACUGUAACAAGGAUAAUUUAAGGUUGUUGAUUAAUCCACCCUUAGAUUAAUCUUCAAAUGAAAGAGGAACUCACAGGACCACAUAGGUCCUCAAAAUUAGCUAAGCAUUACUGGACAUUUCAAUGUUUAAAACAUGGGAUAUGAGAUUGUGGUUCAACCUAUAAUUAAUGUAUUUUUGUGUAGUUUAAAAUUCACUAAAAGGUGGAUAGAAGCUAGAAGUAGAACAUGUAAAAAAACUGGUUAAGAGAAGGAAAAAAAAAGGCUUAAUUGGAUUAAUAGUCCUCGUGGUGAUAGGGUAGUUGGAAGAUAACCAUGUUGUAAAAAAAUUAGGAGUUAAGUACCUGUGGUUAGGGGUGGGCAAUCGGAUCCUGGACCCACGGGUAGGGGCGGGUUCAUAUGGGUCAAGGCGGGGCGGGACAGGGCCAUAUAAAUAGCGGGGCGGGGCGGAUCCAAGAAUUUGAAAACACAGGCCCCCAGCCCGAGCCAUUGAUUCCUAACAUUCAAUUAAAUCUUAGCCGCUUGAUCUCCUACUAAUCUCAUGACUCACUCUCGUUUGUUUAUCACUCUCGUCUCGAUCAAGGUCACAACAACAGCAGCAGCAUCAUAUUUCAGCUAAUAACUACCAACUUCUGCUGCUUCUGUUUUUGGCUUUCUUCCCCAAAAGCCCUCUAGAAUGACUCCUUGCCUUCAUUUGGUUUGUGCUUUUCGUCUUUCUGUCUUGCAUUUGGGUUUUUAGUUUUAAAUUUGUCUUUCCCAUUCCCUUUCAACAAUUUUCUCACCUCUUUUUCCCGAGAAACAAGUGAUCAAUAAAAUAAGGCUAGUGGGCAUCUUGCUUUUCACAGUAAGCAACUCUCUUUAUAAAUCUAUUUUUUAUUGAAUUAAAGUUCUUCUCUUCUAUUUUUGUUUUUCCUGAUUAGAAAGAAAGAAACUAAAUUGUUCAGAUUCGGAAAUUUCUCGAUUUAAUUUAGUGAAUUAAUAGUUAAUUAAUUUGUGAAAUUGGAGAGAUGUGUGGUUGUUAUGCAUGUCAAAUUUUAGAUUAUGCAGAAUUACAAAGUGGAAAAGGAAGAUUGAUUGUUCUUUUGCUUGAUCUAUGCACAGGUCUCUAGUCUGAAGCCUUCUUUGGUUUCCGAUAACAGCAUAGCAAAUAGAAAAAUAUUUGGACCCGUAGGAGCAAACGGGCCGGGUUAGGUUCUAUUCCUAUUUCUAAAAUCAUAUUGCCCGACCCGCCCCACCUCGUUUCAUUUACAAUCGGGUCCGGUUCGGUUCCUCCAAUUUUGGGCUCAAUCCCUACCCACCCUUACCUGGUGAAGUCUGUUAGAAUUUAAGCUCAAAAUAUUAAAAAAAAUUCGGCAAUUCUCUGUUAAUUGUUAGCACAUGAGUCUUAUAUAUGAGACUAAAAAUAUAAAGUUACCCUCACAUGUAAGCCCGACAUGCUAACAAUUAACGAAGAGUUCCGUUUUAGUAUAAUAGUGUUCAUGUGCUAAUAAUUAACAAAAAGUUAACGUAAUUUAUAAUUUUGAACAUAAAUUAUAACAAAUUUCACCACAUCGGUUUAAAUUUUAUUUUUUUACUACAUGAGAAGACUAACAAUCCAAUUAGGCCAAAAAAUAAACUGGAUUCAAAUAGCCGGACCGAACAACUAACCAACCCUUCCAUCUUUUGUACAACGACGGUGCAGAAAGCUACACUCACAACUCGAUAGAAAACGCACCUCCUUGAUAGGAGCAUAUUUAUGCGACUUAGUUGGCUUGUUCUUGUGCAUUUAUGUCGUGUUUCCUUAGUUAUUUUAAUGUUUAAAGUCAUUUUCGUGUGUUUUCAGAUUUUAUGGACAAAGUAGGCAAGAAGAUGCAUUUUGGAGCAUUUUGGAGCAAAAUGGGGCUUGGAAUGGAUAGCAAAUGCAUGGGCCAAAGUGGAUGGACGAAUUUGAGAACUAAAGAGGCCAAGAAUAUGAAGAAUUAUGGUCCAAAAGAUGAAGAAAACAGCCCAAAAAUCUGUCACCCCAACUUGCAUUCCUUGCCAUGCAAACCACAUAGAAUUCCCUUUGGAUUCCCAUGCCAUGCUUGAUCACUCUUGUCCCCUACAUAAUUUCUGAUUUCAUGCUUCAAUUCAUUUAAUUAUUACACUCAAUUGCUUGAUACCUCUUGUUCCCUUCACUCAUUAGAUUUUAGACAACAUUUACAUCCAUUACAUGCACCAAUUGAUGCUCCAUCAUUCACAUUUGGAAUCCAAUGCCAUGUGCAACACAUGUUGUUGCACCUUUGACCCAUUUGUUAACACAUUUCACCUCCCUUUCCAUCUCUAUGCAAUGUACACAAUCAUUCAUGCUCCCUAGCUACAACACCACUCCAUUUUACCCUUCACACUUUGCAUCAUUACUUCAUUUUCACCCUUGGACCAUUGCACACCACACACACAAAUUGCCAUCAUUUCAUCCUUAACCUAACCUGAUUUUCUAAGGUUUUUGGGGCCUAUAAAUACAUGUUUACACCCCUUGGCCAAAGGACAAUCCCCCAUAUUCAUAAUUUUAUCACAACAAUUCGUCCAUACACACCCUAGGAAGCAAAACACCCCAAAAACACCAUUCUAGUGCCUAGAAAACAUAACAGCCACUCCACCUUCUUCCACCCUCUUUGCCUAGUUCUCCACCACCCUCCAACCCUCAAACACUCCUCCACACUUACCCUAAACCUUUCCAUACCAUUCCCCAUCCAUUCUACACCAUAAAAACCACUCAAAACUGUCCAAAACCUCUAGUGCCGCUGCUUGCAAGGAAGGAAAGAGAAGGAACAUCUUGUGCCGUGCCUAUGCCCAAGCCUCGGGAGUGUUGGAGCGUUUCUAGGUGUUUUCUAUCUUUGUUUUUAAUGUCUAAAUUUAUGCAUCUUUGCUUUGUAAGUAUGAGGAACUAAACUCCUCUUAGUUAGGGGGUGAUUCGAAACUAUGUUCAUGCUUGCAAUAUGAUUUGAUUACAUCCAGUUGUGAUUCAUAAGUUGUGAAUUCAAUUUACUUAUCCGUUCAUAUAAAAACUGAUUUGUGUAUGUUGGUUGAGAGUGCACGCUUAAUUUUCAUGCAUGAAUUUGACGCUAGAAUAUAAGGGAGUUUCACCUAAUCGUUAUGAACUUAUAUUCACAAGUAGUGAAGGUUGCUAGUCACAAUCACGUUAAGUAAAUUCUUGGCAUAAGUUUCAUGCAAAUCAUAGUAACGAGUGCCUCGUCAAUGCUUAUGUUUUUCAUGGAACUUAAUGAUUCUUGCUUGUAUCUCUAUUAUGCAAUUCAUGUAGGGAACUGUAGGGAAUGUUUUGGGUUGUCGUAUGCGAUCAUCCAACCUAAUAACUUGUGGAAAAACUGAGGGUUAAUUAGUGCAAUUCACGGUUAAUUUGGGGCGUUGAGUAUUCAUAGUUUAUCGAAAAGCAACUGGAAAUCGUUUUGUAUGCAAGUGUGACAUGUGUGGAGAAGAACCUCCUAGCUAGCCUUCCAUCCAUAAGUUUCAUUCAAAUUCAUUUUACAAUCUGUUUUGAUUCACUUAAAUUUGUCUAAGAAUUUGUUUACUUUGUUCUUGUCUUAAUUUAAUUAUUUUCGUCGAAAAUCAACCCCAUCUUAUUUCUUUGAGUCAUAUUAAUUAGAACUUGUCUUAGAUUAUGUUUUUAAGUGUUUUAGUUCAUUAGAAAACCAAAAUUUGUCCAAGUUUGUGAGAGUCCCAAAAUUGCCCAGAUUGUGUUUUUAAGGUAGUUUUGAGUGUUUAGGGGCUGUUUUGAGUCUUUUGGUUUGUUUUAGUGUUGUAAAGUAUAGUUUUGCAUUCUUUGAGUCUAGUUAGUGUUUUAAACUUUGUUUUUACGUUUUCAAGUCAGUUUCCAAGUGAUUUAGCAAUCCCUCCUAAUCCCCGGCCUAGAACGAUCCCUACUUACAUACUUUACUACAAUUGAUAAAAAGAGAGUUUAAUUUGUGUGUUAACUUAUUUUACGCAUCACUCCUGCCUCCUUCCACGGUGGUUCAACCUCUCUCCUCCUUUUUCUACCAGGAAAAUCGAUAAAGUUUCCGAAUCCGACUUUCCAUUUGCUUUCCGACUAAGCAAACAAGAUUUUCACAUCGAUUUUUAUGAAUGAAUGCUACUGUAAAAAGCUUUCAACUUUACUUCGUUUUCCAACUAACCAAACAGGAUUUCAUGUUCUUAGGGUUCACAGCAUGGCGAGGUCUCUUUCGAAUUUGGUCUUCAAGUGGCUUUCGUUUCCCGGCUCGGCUUCUCGUCUUGCCACAACUGUAAGAAUUUGAUUAGGUUUCCCACAUUUGGCUACUAGUAGUAAUUGUAAGGAAAUGAUUUGUAUCAAAACAUGGGUACAUUCUUCAAAAUCACAACAAAAAAAAAAGGAUAUUAAGCUUAAUAACAUUAGUAAAUUUCUUCGAUUAACCUUAAUAUGAAUACAUUUUAAAAUCAAAGAAAAAAAAAUGUACCCAUAUAAGUUUAAAAAUGGAUUAGAAAAAAAUUGAAUAGAUUUUAUAUAAAAAAAAAAAUGGUACAUUUUACAUAUAGUAAAUUGGUAUAUUUAAGAAUGAGUAUAUUUUAAGAUUAAAAAUUUGAAAAAAUUACAUGAAUGGGUACAUAUAUUUCGCAUGGGUACAUUUGGCCAAAAAAAAAGGGUACAAAUAAAUUUAAAAAAAAUAUGGGUACAAAUACAAAUAAAACUUUGAAAAAUAUGGGCACAAAAGGAAAUUAAUAUAUGGGUACAAAUUAAAACUGAAAAGAAAAUUGGUACAAAUUAAAAAAGGGUUACAAAUUAAAAAUGGGUACAAACUAAAACUAAAAAUACAUGAUAAAAAAUUUAGUCAUAAAUAUAAAUAUACUAAUUGUAACAUUUUUAACAUUAAAUGAAUAUAUUUAGAAAUAAAAAAUACUUUAUUAUUGAAAUAAUUAAUGAUGUUAUUAAUACCCAAGGACCUUAAUCAAAAAUUAAAAAUGAAUAGUAAAAGGAAGGAUGAGAACCUAAUUUCUCCAUUUUAUAACCUAUAUGUCAUUUUAUUUUGCAUAUCUUAAUACAAUUAUGUAUAUUUUUUAAGUAUAAAUAGACACUUAUUUAUACAAUAAUAUAAUAAAUUUACUUAAAUCCACUUAGGCGCCUAGGCGCUAGGCCCCAGCUUGCCGCCCGACUAGCACCUAGUGUUUUUUAGAAUCUUGCCUGUUUGUGAUUGAAAUUAUGUUUCGGUACAGAGUUAAUUGGAUUAUCUAUGUUCGAACAUACCCUAAACCUUGCUUGUCAUAUGGAUUGAGAUUUUGAUCACAUGGCAUAUAUUAGAUUGUGUGGCAAGAAACAUUGCUCUUUAUUGUAUAUGUUAUAUGUGUUGAUGCACAAAACCGGAGGUCUUGGAACAACGUAAAUCCGACCGUGAAUCUGCAUGAAAGUAAAUAACACAAGAUGUAUCGUGGUUCACCCCAAGGUUUAGGCUACGUCUAUACUAAUUGUAUUUAUCUGAGAGUAUUUGUGAGGGAGAGAGUGUGAGAGCUUUGCUCUAGAUAGGAGAGACUUAAGGUUUGUGAGGAUGAGGAGGCCCUUCUAUAAAAUAAGGGCUCCUCCCCUAAUUCAGUCCAUGUGUGGGCCGAAGUAACUAGAUGCUGUCUCGAACUGAUGCUAGAUAUGAGGCAGUGCUCAAUCUGAAAUGACGCUCAACUAGAAGUAGCACACGCUGCGAGGCUGCUCGGCUCGUAGCUUAUGUUGCCUUGGUUGGCUCGGCUCGCUCCUCAAUACAUGAAUGAUGGGCUAGAGUUGAUGCUCUCUAAUGAUGGUGAGGGAGUUCCUUUUAUAGAAUAAGGGCUCGUUCCUCAAUACAUAAAUGAUGGGCUAGAGUUGAUGCUCGCGGCGAGGCGGUUGCUCAGUAGGCGGCAAUGCUCUCUAAUGGUGGUGAGGGAGUCCUUUUUAUAGAAUAAGGGCUCACUCCUCAAUACAUAAGUGAUGGGUUAGGAGUGAUGCUCGCGACGAGGCGGUUGCUCAGCUGGCGGCGUUGCUCUCUAAUGAUGGUGAGGGAGUCCCUUUUAUAAAAUAAGGGCUCGCUCCUCAGUACAUGAAUAAUGGGUGCUCUCUAAUGAAAGUGAGGGAGUCCCUUUUAUAGAAUAAGGGCUUGCUCCUCAAUACAUAAGUAAUGGGCUAAGUCCCCUAAGUAUUUUUCAUGAGGCCCAGUUAAGGCCCAAUAUAUGGUACAUAAUGUAGUCUCUCAAGUCUUCGAUCAAUAGAGUCUGUUGGCUGGAGACUUCAAAUUGAAUCCAUGUGUGGGCCGAAAUGGCGGUUGUUCGGAGGCGAUAUUUGUAUACCCUGCACUGAGGCUUUGUAGGUGAAGCUUUGCAAGUGAAGCUUUGAAGCUAGAGCUCUGUAAAUGAAGCUUUUGAAGCUAGAGCUUUUGUAAAUGAAGCUUUUGAAGCUGUAGCUCUGUACAUGAAGCUUUUGAAGUUAGAGCUUUGGUAAAUGAAGCUUUUGAAGCUGUAGCUCUGUAAAUGAAGCUUUCGAAGCUAGAGCUUUUGUAAAUGAAGCUUUUGAAGCUGAUUGACAUGAGUGAUGCUCAUGAAUGUUUGAUUGACGUGAGUGAUGCUCAUGAAUGUUUAUGUAUGAUUGAUAUGAGUGAUGCUUAUGAAUGUUUAUGUAUGAUUAACAUGAAUAAUGCUCAUGUAUAAUAUGAAGUACUGGGCGUACUUUUGAUCACCUGGUUGGUGGCAUGAAGGAGAGUACGGGUUGUACAUUUCAUCACCUGGUUGGUGGCAUGAAUGGCUAGUUGCCAAAUGAUAUUAGAGUACGGGUUGUACAUUUCAUCACCUGGUUGGUGGUAAUAACGGCAGGUUGCCGAAUAAUUUUGGAGUACUGGGCGUACUUUUAAUCAACUGAUUGGUGGUAAUAGCGGCAGGUUGCCGAAUAAUUUUGAAGUACUGGGUGUACUUUUGAUCACCUGGUUGGAGCUAUUUUGGGCUUAUGGGCCUUCGCCCUCCACAACAUGCCAGCCCAUUUAUUUUGGGCUUUGCUUUUUUUUUUUUGGUAUUAUUACCCUUUGAUAAGGUUUAUACAGAUGUCUCCGAGAGAUAAGAAAAAUGAAUUACAUCAUUUUAAAGUAAGGAAAAUAAAUCACAUCAUUCUGGUAGGGUGUUUAUUCCUUACUUUUGCUUUCUGCUUUCCGUCGCACUCUCUGUCUCUUCACCUGGUAGACAAAAGGAAUCAUAAUAAUAAGAAAUUUUUUUUGCUUUUCUUCUUUUGCUUUUCUUUCUCUUUUCCAUUCCCUGCAUAUUAAAACGUAACAGGAUAGCUUUGAUACCACCCACUUGCUUUCUUUUGCUUUUUCUCUAACGUGACAACUGCUUGGACACUGAUAUUUCUGUGGUAAUAAUUGCAGCCAAAGUGACAACUGCUUUUUGCAUGUCGGUGAGAACACCAAUAGGCUCAACAACACAGUCAGCACCGGCCUCACCCCAUGAGAUCUCCUAUGGGUUCCUAAUUCUGAAAACAGCAACAGGCUUCUCACCGAAGAGGAGGGUCUUGGAGUGACCUUGAGCUCAUGGUGCUUCCAUGCGCCAUGCACUGUGUUGUACUUGAACAUAUAGGUCAUGUAGUCGGUGGUAAUGAAGGCAAUCUCUUCAAUCUGCAAAACAGUGUUGGGUCCUUCUGGAUCUGCAUAUUUGACGGGCUAAAUUGAUCAUCUGAUGGCAAUCUCUUCAAUCUUAAUAUUUAAUGUCAGUUUAAAUUGAUCCAGAUCUGCAAACCAGUGUUGGGUCCUUCUCCUUUUAGGCAUUUCUGUCAGGAAACCUCCACAACUCAGCUGAAUAUCCUAACCUCUCUAAGUUUGUGACUAGUCUAGCAGACUGUGUCGUCUUCCCACACCGAUCUAAGCCUUCAAGAACAACCAAGGCACCUCUUGAAUCCUCAUUUCCACAUUUUUAGGCUAUAGUUCUGAUUUUUACCUUCUAUCCGAAUCUGCCUGACUAAAACAUUGCAAGCAAAGUAUGAUUGAAAGCCCAAUGACCUUCGUACUGCUCUGGCUCCAAAGUUUAAAGCUUGCAAGCUGCAUGAUUCUGCCGACCAGUGAGGUAUCCGUAGUGCAGGGAAGGGAGGCGCCGGGGGAGAUGGGUGAGGCCGGGGAGAAUGGCGGCGGUGUUGACGAUGUUGUUCUUCUUCGGGGCUCUUUCAUCGUCUGAUGAUGAACUGGACUCGUCCUCUACCUCAUCUCCCGACCCAACUUUGGUCGGACCAACAUCCUCCGGCUUUCUUUCACUGUCCAUUGGAGACCUGGCGUCGAUGCCCCUGACAGGACGCAGCUUCUGGGGAGGCGAGGGAACCGUAGGCCACGAAUUCUCGAACAUAAGCUCGUCUGUGUUCUCAGGGAGCGGGGAUAUCUGCUCUCCAAAGACGUCAGGGUCUUUUGCCUAGUAGCAGAAAGGGCAGAUCCAGAUGGGCUCAGAGACGUGGAUUUUUGCGCUAGUAGCAGAAAGGGCAAAUCCAGAUUUUGGCAGUGAAGCGGAUCGGGAAGAUGUAGACGGCCAGUGGGAUCACGCAUUUGCUAGCCUCCAGGGAAGGGAGGAGAGAGAAAGAUGAGGACGUCAGUGGUGGUGGAAGUCUCAGGGCGCGACAACAGAUAUCAAAACCUCAAGCAUAAAAGUGCUUUUGGGUACUUUCACUGGCUUAGUAAUCAGAGGACGGGUUGAGCUUCUUGGCUUCGGUGAUGCUGUUGGUUUUAAGCUCGCUGCUUCUGCUUAUUUUCAGCCCACUUCUGUUUUUUGCUGGGUUUAUGUUUGUCGGAGCCUUUGGCUGGGUUUGCUCUGGCUGCUGCCUUGGCUUUUACGGGGUGACUACUCUAAGAUGGAUUUUUCAGAAGCUUGCCGGUAUAAGGCUUUUGGGAUUUUUGCAGAUUCACAGUGGUGAGAUGAAAAAAUGAAAGAGAACCGACACAACUUUUCGGAUCGAUUCCCACAAACGGCGCCAAAUGUUAAUGCACAAAACCGGAGGUCUUGGAACAACGUAAAUUCGACCGUGAAUCUGCAUGAAAGUAAAUAACACAAGAUGUAUCAUGGUUCACCCCAAGGUUUAGGCUACGUCCACACUGAUUGUAUUUAUCUGAGAGUAUUUGUGAGGGAGAGAGUGUGAGAGUCUUGCUCUAGAUAGGAGAGACUUAGGGUUUGUGAGGGUGAGGAGACCCUUUUAUAGAAUAAAGGCUCCUUCCCUAAUUACAUAUUUGCCCCUUCUCUUAUUACAUAAUUACAUUUAAGUCCUUCGAGUAUUUAUACGAGGUCUAAAUACAAGGCCCUAAAUAUUGUAUAAAACAAUAUGCUUGCAUUUUUUACCAGGCCAUGUAUAGGAAUGUGUGCGUAUCUGUGCGAGUGUAUAUGUUUGUAACAACACAUUAAUCCGCGGCAUGUUUUGAAUUUGGUUCAUGUAUGCUUCAUACUUGUUGAUGAUAACAUUUAAUGGUUUCUUUGGUGGUAGGCACCUGCAUCCUUUUAUCCCAGUGGCAUGAGAUACAAUACCAGUGUGCCAAAUGAGCCCGACACGCAUGAUGAUUUUAAACCAACUAAUAAACUUGAGAGUUUUGACCUUAGUUUGAAGGCCUUGUUGAACAGGUAUGUAUGCCAAACCAAUCUUCUUAACAUAAGUUUUUAUCUUCCCUUUGUCAUCUGGAUAGGGAUGGGCAAAUACCCAUCGGUUAUGGGUAACCACGGUUACCCGUCCAUUUAAAUUUCACGGUUAUGGUUAUGGGUAACCGUUUAGAUAAAUAAACGGUUAUGGGUAUAACCGUUUACCUGUGAAAUUUAAAUUGGCAGUUAUGGGUAUUAACCGCGGUUAUAAACGGGUAACCAUUUACCCAUUUAUUUUAUAUAUGUAAAAUUAACACAAAUCAUGUUCCCUAUCGGACAAAACUUAGAUCAAUGCUAUUGACCAUAGUUCAUGAUUUCUAUAGCUAAUAUAAUAUAGUUUUCUUUAACCACUUUAAAUUUCAUGUGUGACGACCCGUCCCUAUAUUAUUUAUGUAAUUUAUUUCCGACUAUGUGAAAUGACUAUUACGCCCUUAUUGGCAAGUGACAUGGACGUAUUUAUAUCGCUUUUAUUUUAUUUCUCGCUAUCGCAAUUAAAUUGUACACAUUAUUACGAGUGUCCGAGAAUUUCUACCAAUGUAAUAACACUGUUACGGAUAGGUUUCAUUCCCUUUUACUAUAGAAAAUUUGAAAAUUUACCCCGAGCUUUCUUUAAAACCUACCCCGUGCCUUUUCCUUGUCAUUCACCAGUCAAAUAUCUUCCAAAACCUUCUCCUCCAUUCAUUUUUCCUGUUUUUCCUCCUAGCCAAUCAAGUGCCUUUCCUCAAUUUUGGCACCCAAUUAGUGAUCACACUUCCACAAACCUUCACCCAAUCAGAAAAUGCAAGUCACUCUCUCUCUCUCCCCGAAUGUCUCUCUCUCACCCUUUUCUCUGCAACAAGGAAGACCAACCCCAAAUCUUCACUGUUCCGAACUCGGACGAGUUGAGUUCGACGUGUUUUCAACCGAGUCACGAUGUUUUAGGACCUGGGAAAGCCUCUACACAACUCCCUACGGUCCCUAGUCAAGGUUUGAGGAAGCUUUGACGUGAAACAACUCGGUUUCGAGAAGUUCAAGUUUGACCCGUGCCUUUCGAGCCAAUUUCUGGCCAAACCACGACAAUUUGGCCAGCGUGCAAGGUAUCAAUUUCUUCGUCUCACUGAGUACUACAACUUUCCUUUUUCUUUCACCGAAAGUCGUUGAGUAUUGAAGAAGUUAUACUCAUUUGAAUCUUACCCAGUUUUUUUGCGACCUCCACGCUUUCGAGGUGAUUUCCGGCCAAACCACGACGAGUUAGAUGUCAUGCAAGGUACCAUUCUCUUCGUCUCUUUGAGAACUACAACUUUCAUUUUUGAAUAACUCAAUUUCGUUGAGUAUUGACAACGUUAUUAACGUUUAAAGGUUGUUCAGUUUUUUUGCUGAAUCCGGCCUUCCCUUCCGUUUAGCUCCGGCGAGCAACAACCCAAACCCAGGCCCUUUGGGCCAUUCUUGCCAAGCCCAAAACCCUGGGCAGCCCAACCUAACCCUUUUUUUUAUUAUUAUUAUUUGGUUAAUUAAAGGCUUUUGGGCCAUUUCCUUUUAGGGCUUUAAGCUCAUGCAUUUUAAACCCUAAACCCUUUUAGUUUAGGCCUUUAGGCCUAAAACCCUUAAGUCCAACCUAUUAAACUAACCCAACCUAAUAACCCUUAACCCAGAUGAAAUAUUCCGUUAGGGAAUAUUCCAUCCGUCAGGGAACAUUCCGUCCUUCAGGAAAUUUAAGCGGGACCCUUCUUAGGGUAAUUCGACGUCCUGAAUCCAUUUUUGACGUCCGUUUUCCCAAAUUCAAUCGUUAUAAUAUAGUUUUAUUAAUUGUACAUUUAUGUGCUUAGGGGCAAUUAUUAGUGGUGUUUGCAUCUUCGCUAGGUUGCGUGGCUCGUCAGCGGCGAAGUCUCUGUGAGUGGGCAUUUUAUUUUAUACCUAUACAUAUUGAUAGUUUCCCUAAAUGCGUAGUUACUUCACUUUUACGCUUAUAUUGCCUAGUAUUCGAUAUUGUGAUAUGAAUUGUGAUAAAUGCUACUAUAUGGUUAGGAUAUCAUUGUCAUGACAUUCAUACAUAUUUGUACAUGCUCAUCUUCCUACACCCGGAUGUUAGUACUCCGCCCAGGGCCAGGGCCAGUCCUUCACAUGUAUGUUCACAUCCGCACCAUUCGCUCACCUUGGAUCCAAAUUGGGUGCUAGUCCUGUCGGGUAGAUUGCAUUAGGCAAUCCGACUUGUAUGUGACCGUGCUUCUGCACCACUCUUUGUGUGAUCGUAGUACUAGAGCGCAUUGAUUACACCCAGUUCUGUUGGGUAGAAUUGCCUUAGGCUGUUCCGACUCGUGUGCUAGCUUAGAUGAUGAACAAACUACUUAUAAUUGAUUAUCACAUGAUUAUAUUACUUUGGCAUUUGAUAAUUCAUGACUUGGCAUAUUUCUAGUUAUAUUGCUGUUAUAUUUGAUUUCAUACUUACGUAGUAUGUUUUGAGGAAACUAUACUUGUUUUACGGCGAGGGGUUAGUAUAUUCAAAAAUAAAGGUUUUCGUAUAAGCAUUGUUUUGCUACCCACUCAACUUUGUUUUUCGCCCCUCCAGGUUUAGUAGCUGUGUUUACGCGUAUACGAGGAUUCUAGCAAAUCUCAGGAGAAGGUUACCUUCAGUGGUAUAACCAUCAUCCUAUUUACUAUAUUGUCUUAUGCUCUGACAUCACGUGUGAAAAGGGUUCAAUCCCGCUCACCCGCGCACUCUUUUGAUUAGGCACUUUUAGGUUUAAUUUAUUCACUUUUUCCACAUCACUAAACUUUAUGGCUUCGUCACCUUCCAGGUGUCGGCCAGGACAACUCAAUUUGGAGUCCAAGUAGACAUUCCGGGUCGGGGUGUGUCAUCAUAGUCCAUUAUAUAUAUUAUGUUAAUAUUUUACAUUCCGAGUUAAAUAACCCAAGAAUACUGUCUUUUAACAGUUUUCGUGACCCAAGAAUACUUAGCAAAUUUUAUAUUACCUUCAUUGCUAAAAGUUAAAAAUAUCGUCUGUAAAUUAUUAUUUCAAUUAUUGGAAUGGUAUAAAGAUUUAAAAAAUUAAAAUGCGGAAAUGUAUGAUGAAUGUACCUAUAACGGUGUUUAAUUGUUAGAAAAAAAAAAUUAUGACAAAUUUUUCUUUUUUAAUUUUCAAGUUGUUAAAAAAAACACGUAGACAGGUGAAAAAGGAGUAAAUGGUGAAAAAGAAAGGAUAAACGGGUUUAAAAAUGAUAAAUGGGUAAACGGGUAUUAAACGGUUGUGAUUAAAUUGGUACACGGUUAUGAGUAUGGUUAACCGUUUAUAAACGGUUAUGGGUAUGGGUAUAACCGUUUAGACAAUUACCGAACGGGUAAACGGUUAUACGGGUAUGGAAAUAAACGGUUAUGGAUAAAUAACUGUGGUUACCCACCUGCCAUAACCGUUGCCCAUCCUUACAUCUGGACGAAGGUUAAUUGUCCUUUACGUUAAAUAAUUCUGGUAUGUUUCUGGCGUAGGACGUCAAGGACAACCCUGUAAUGCUUUAUAUGAAAGGAGUGCCUGAACUUCCUCAAUGUGGAUUCAGCUCACUUGCCGUUAGAGUAUUAAAACUAUAUCGUAAGUGCCAAGUCGUUCAAUACUCCUUCAUUCAUUCAUGGCUUUCUAAAGUUCAUUUAGCAAUCAAAUCUAGCUAUGUAUGAACGGAAUAACUGAAAUGAAUGCAUAGUGAUAUCACUAUCUUCAUGAAUCAUGAUUGCUCAUAUGUUCCAUCAAAGUGGGACGCCACUAGCUGAAGAUAGAUAUAAAUAGCUUGCCAGUGUCAAGCAUAUCCAUACAGGUGCAUUUGAUACUUCCUGCAUAAAGAGUGUCAGUUUUGUACAAAUACGUGAUGCACCUAAUCAAUUAGAAUUGUCAGAAAUGGCUAAAACGUAAAGUAAUCCAGAAUGGAGUAGAGUACUGUUUCAGGUGCAGUGACUGACAGAUUGUAUUAAUUUUCUUUUCAAGUUUACAUAUUGAAUGAAGUAAGUUGAGUGAAGCUCUUCUUAUUUGUUGUACUUUUCAAGUCUUGGAAUUUUAAUUCAAUAGGUAGUUCAACUAGAAAUUAUGAAGGAACGGGUUCUAUGUUACCGAGUAUAGCUUGAGUUUACGAACAAACAUGACUACUAAAUAGCUACUAAAUUUCAUUUCUUGUUUUGCAUUGCCGCUAACUAUUUUCUUAUGAUUAUUGUGGACUUUGCAGAAGUUCCCUUGGCCUGUAGAAAGAUAGAAUGACACAUUUUCAAGAGAAGAAGUCUGAAAAAGUUGUUGAAUUUGGAGGGUAGAAUGAUACAUUUCACCCAUGUUCAUUUUUUCACAUAUUUGGAUAGUAUGUGUCGAUACGAACGCAUGGGGGCAAACGGAAUGAAAUUUGGAGCUAGAAUGAAAGAUUGUACGAGGCUCAGCUUUUUUUUGGUUGCUGAAAGAUUACAAAUAUGUGGGAUUAUGUAUCACUAGAGUUAAUAAACCUAAUUUUAUUAUGUCAAGAGUAAUAAAACUCGCUUUUUUAUUCAUCUCCUUUCGUCCUCCUGCAAUAUAUCUGGUUUUCAUGUGAGAAUUGGGUUUGAGUUAGUUGUUCUGGUGCCUAGGAUUGGAUGAGAAUGGGUGUGACCUUCACAUGCGCUUUUCCCAUCCUUCGGAGGGUCCCGAGACCACCCAGGUUCCUAUGUGGAUCUGCCCGUGCCUACACACCUUUGUUUAUUUCCCUCCUCUAAAAUAAGAUGUCAGCCAACAACUUUCAUUACUGGAGUGAAAAUCAAACCUGAUUGCAAACAAAGAAAUGCUUUUUCAUAAGCAUCAAGAAAAAAAAAAAUUAAUUGAAGAUUUAGGGAAAUUAUAACAACUAUAGUUGCUAUCCAAUUUAUUUAUGAUUUUUCAUUAUUCUGUUUUUUAUAAGCGAUAAAAGGAGGGGGUGUGCUUAGCUUCACAAUAGGUUAGCAAUAAUAUGGUUCAAAUUUGCCUUUGGCAAGAAUCAAACCUAAGACCUCUCACUUACCACUAAAUGGCCUGGUGGGGCUUUAAAUCUUGACGGAGCCACUAUUUCCGAAGUCAAAGCUAAAGGUCUAAUAGAGGGCCUAAUGUUUGCUCUUAGAAAGGGUGUGUCGAAGAUCAUGGUGGAAGGCGAUUCCAAGCUAGUCAUCCAGGCUAUGCAAGGAGUGUGCUCGGUUUCAUGGAAUCUAGAGCAUACCAUUGAAGAUAUUAAAUGGAUGGUGACCAAAUUUAGCAUUAUCUCUUAGACCCAUAUCUUUAGAGAGGCAAACUUUGUUGUUGAUGCCUUUGCUCGUCAGGGCUUCUAAUAACUGGUUGUCAUAUGUGGGAGCAUCAUGUUCUUCCUUUUGCUUUAGAUGCUUUUCAUUUUAAUUCUGUUGGGAACGGUUAUUAGGGUCGGACAAUGUUUCAAAACAAAUCUACUUCUAACUAUCUGAGAGACAACAUUAACUGAUGCCACUAGUACAUGAGCCUGCGAUGAUUGCAAGACCAUCCUGCACGGAUGAUGCCGACAAACUGCAGUUCUUGUCUCAGAGUCCCAAUUUCACAGCUCAAGUAUUUUCCAACAUCUCAAUACAGCAACGAGGGUUCCCAAACCAAGCAAGCUGAUUUUACACAUUGCAAUGAAAAUAGUAAUCUUUUACUCUGAAAAUUUUGUCGAGGUGUUUAGCAGCGUUGCAACAUUUUUCAUUUCCCUGAGCUUGCUUAACAUAAAUAUUGAAGCAUAUAUUCAUUGGAAGAACAUGUCUCUUUCAAAUCCUGAUGUGUUCUUGUUAUUGCCGUCUGUAGGGAUUUUAAAGCAGGAAGCAGCUUUCUAGAGUUUUGUUGAAUAGAGUUACCAUGAACUUUGCAGAGCUCCUGCAAGACAAAACAUACGCAAACCAUCAGUGAGAUCCUGCUAUGAAAACAAUGCUACUGUAACGCGUUCACAGCAUCUGAACUCAGUAGAAACGGAAGCCAAUAAAAGUACCUGACACCACCGAAGUAUGAACUCCAAAUGUGGGCGACUUUCUAACAGAUCUGCAAAUGCCUCAAUUAACCUUUGCAAAUAUCUGUACGGAAUUGAUGAGACGACAGCAGGGAUGUCUAUCGGACUAACUUUGAAAAUACACUUUUUAAUUAGACUGUCUUCGUUUAAUCUGAGACUAAGGAUUAAAGCCUUGCUCAAUUUAUCUUCAUUGCGUGCAGCAUCAACAGCCUGCAGAACAAUGUAAUCAGGAAAUAAAUGAAAAGAAAACAAAAUUGAAGGUAGAAAUAUACAAAAACUAAAAAAAUUAGUGCCAUUUUAACAAAGGGUCUCACUAUUAGUAUUUACCUCCAAAUUUUCUCGCAAGCCUUCCAAUCAUGAAUUCAUUAAUAUCCAUUAUAAACCUUGGCCUCGUUUGGCAUGCCAUAUAAGACCACCGGAUAGUACUAAUAAUACGAAGCGGAUGUUUGGUGAACGUCGUAUUAAAUAAGCACCGUAUUACUUAAUCCGGCCCCACUUGUUUUAUCCCCUUCAUACCUGCUUGUUUAUCCCGUCCCAAACCUCUGUAUUAUUAGUCGGGUGCAUCUCUCUCGCUCACACUGGCUCACUCCGUCCCUCUCUCACGCACUCUCCUUCAACUCUGUCCCAUCACCUGCUAUCUCUCGUCUACUUCCAAGUUCGUCUUCGUCGCCAUUUUUUUUUUUCUGUCUCUCUUCCUUCCUCCUUCUUUGCACACACACCCCCACCUCUUUGUUCGCCUUUGAUUUCUGACAACAAAACAUUCCAUGGGUUGAAGGAGGAAGAUGAUGAUUCAAAUUCUUUCGAUCUGGACUCCAAUGACGAGAAGGAUGACGAGAAAGGGAGCUAGGCUCCGACGAGGAGGGGGAUAGCAACUCGGAUCUGGGCUCCGAUAAGGAAGGGAGCUGGGCUCUGACGAGGAGGGGGACAAGAAUUCGAAUAUAGGCUCCGAGUUAUCGACCCUGGCCGCUACUCCUCUGCAAUCGGUCGUCGAUGGUGGGAUUGAUGCGCGAGGAAGAUGGUGAAGAAGAAGGGUGCGACUGAGAAGAGUCCUGGGUUUUUUAUUCUUAUGUUUUUCUUUUUUUUUUAUUGUUUUUUCUUCCUUUUGUUUUUGUUUUGUUUAAUUUUAACAACAAUUAUUGUGAAUUUAAAAAAAAAAUAUUAUAGUCCGACGUAUUAUCCGAUGCAUAAAUUAAUCCGAUACAAUACCAAACGCCCGACUAAUUUAGUCAGUAUUAUCCGACGACUAUUUAUCCUAUCCGACUGAAAUAGUCAGUACAGUCCGAGCUGCCAAACGAGGCCCUUGUAUACAAUCUAUAUCUCUCUCUCCUCCCCAUCCACUCUCCCUGCCACCGUCAUCCAGUAGCUCUCCCCAAAGUACUGGUUUGGUACUAAGGUACUUUUAUAAAAAGUGGGUAUCAAAAAAACCUGAGCUCAAAAAGGUGUUUGAUAAACACUUAAAACAGCUUAUUUUCACAAUUUUGGAUGGCCAUGAAACCGGAGGGAAAAGAGUGCAAUCAAUGGGAGAGGAAGGAGGAGGAUAUGGGGGUGAGAUGACCAGAGGGGAAAGGGUGCUGUGUAAAACUCUUAUGUGAAUGACAAUGAGUUAUGCCGAGAAUAAUGGAGAACUAAGACGACUUGACUUACAAGUCAUGGAUACGCUUAAGGAUUCUCGGAGGCCUAGUGUUACAAAUAUAUUGGAGUCGUAAUAAGUAUCAUGGUAAGACUAAUUGAUUUGAUAGUAUUUGGGUGAAUAUCCUUUACGAUAAUAGGGAGGAAUUGAUUGAAACCCUAGUUAUAAAACUAAUUUUUACAGCACAACAAAAACAGUUUUUUUUUCAAAGCACAGCAAUACCAAACCAGCCCUAACUUUGGAACAGAGGCACCUUUGUUCCAGGUGCCCAUGGGGCCUCCUCUAGGUUCAAAGGUGGACAGUCUACCUAGUUUUUCUUCAAUUAAGUUUAUGUUUUUAUCAGACAAAUAUUGAUGUUUAAUUCGAGCAAUUGUAUUCUGGUGGCAUACUGAGUUUUAACAAAACAAAGCUUUAAAAAUGUUUCAUGGGUAAUCUGAGUAGAGGGAAUUUUGUAAUAUUUCAAAGUUUCACCAAGUACCUCAGGUGUGACAUCUAUGUCAAGAUCAGUUGGGUCAAAGAUAAAGGAAUCAUCAAUUGAAUAAACUAGAACUCCCUCUGUUGUUGCUGCUGAGAAGCUCCGACCAGUGGGGGCAAUUCUCAAGCAUUUUGUUCUAACAACCAGCCUUCCAUGGUUAGGCAUGGAUCCUGGUAAAUCAUAACCCAACUUUCCCUGGGUUUGCUUGUCAACACCGUCUUCUAUAUAUCGUCAAUUAAAUCCAGUGGUCCAGCAUCUGUCAUAUUCUUUGAGUUUAAGAAGUCAAGAACUCCAUCCAAAGAUACAUUGUGAGUUAUUUGAAACCUCCGCAGCAACACCUGCGAAAAUAAAUUCACUACAUCAAUAGACCUAAAAACUUUGAGGUUUGAACAUAAUGAAGAAGUGGAGUUCCUCUACAAGUUAGUUUUAGAGGAAUACAAUGGUACCCAGUGACGCAGACAGGAGAUGUACCCAAUCACCGAUACAUAUACAAUACAGACAAGGAAAAUUAUAUACACCCUAACUUCUCUUUUCCCAACUUACAUGGCAUUCUCACACUGGAAUUAAAAACAUUGUUGUUUUACCAAUGCAAUGAUAUAUUUCUCAACUGUGGGAAAAAAAAAAGCAUUGGGAGAAAAAAGUUGGUGUAUUUUCUAAAGAAUAAGUUUAGAUGAUUGAUGUAGAAACAAGCAGAUUGUAGCAGGUUUAAGGCCAGAAAAAAUCUACCAAAGAGCAUAUGCAUACAAGACGUCAAAAGAAAUAAGCAUACAGAAGUUAGAAAAAAACGCCUAUUAUUUCAAAAAUGAUAUACAACAAACUGCUUAAAGUUCAUCCUAAACUCGAAUGAAAUGGAGUAUUCAGGUAACCAUGGAAGUUGCACAGCCCUAAUCAAAGUUCUCAUUAGAUGUUUGAUGUUCUGAAUAUGUGACUUAUACUUGGAGAAAUCUUAAUUCAUUGGGACACUGGCCAAGAGGUGGAAAGUUGUACAGCUCUUUUAAUAAACCUCAUCACAUUUUGGCUAAAGUUGCAAUAAAUCAAAGUAAAUAACAGUAUCUUAUGUAAGAAUGUGUAGACCCAACUGUUAAUGAAAAUAUAGCUCAUGCUUUUCCAAGCAGUUUCUUCAAGCAUAAAAAAGAUGCAAGAGGUGUGUGUGCAUAACUGCAUAUAGCUUGAUGUUAAGGUCUUGAUGUGCCAGCCAGAAAACGAAACAGCAACAGAAAAUGCAAAAAAUGAAAGCUUGAGAAACAUCAUCGAGUGUGAAUUAUGCUGUUCAAAGCUUGCCCAUGUAAGAAACUAACCUGAUCAGCAACAUCAUACAUGCAGAUGUAUUUGCUACUUCCUCCAGCUAAUAUGUAACUCCCAUCAGCUGAAUAACAUAAAGUUGUGAAGAAUUUUCCUGAACUUGAGUUGGCAGCUGAUCUACAAUCUGUCAUAAGACGACCUCCAGAAAUAUCCCUACGGCCCUCAAUGGUAUACAUUAAUAAACCAUCAAUUGGGUCCCAGAAAUGAAUUUGACCAUCUAAUGUGCUGCUAGCCAACUGCUUUCCAUCAGGGUGGUAAACCAGUGUAAGAACAUCAUGUGGAUGAGUAAUUGUUUCAACAGCACCUUUUCCAUCAAAAACAUCCCACAACCGAACUGUUCUGUCCCAUGAUGAUGAAGCUAAAGUUGCCUACAUGUGGAAGAAAAACAUCGCAUCAAGCUCCAACAGCUAUCAACGUUAAACCUUGCAAAUAAACUUUGGUUGCAUGAGAAAAUAAAAACAAUAUACAUAAAGAAAACACCUUAAAUCAUAAAUAGGAACCAACUCUAUAAAAGUAUAUGCAUCUGCAACAGCCCAAGUAAGCAUUAUAGAAGCAUGUGCAUUUAUAAUAAACCAACACAACAAUUAUACCAGCAGAACAAUCAAAUAUAAUAUAAGUAAACUCACAUUUGUAGGAGAAAACAUCAAACCCCAUGAAAACCAUCUCAGUUGAGCUUAUAAACAACAAAUUUCCCAUAGUAACUUGUUGACAAAUAGGGAAAUAGUGUUGUUGUUUCUACAGUGUUAUGAUUAUAUUUGAAUGAUAAGAAAGUGAAACAAAGAAUGAAAGAAAAAUGGUGAUGAACACAAAAGGAUUUCUGAUGCUUCUCUCUCUCAGCACACUCUACUCGUGCACUGUAUAAUGGUUAGUUAUACAGCUGGGAUCCUUUACACAUCAAAGUGAUCCCAGCCCCUCUUCUAGCUAUAUUCUAGGAUUCUUACACAUAGCAAUGUCAGCCUUACAUCAUGAGCCUUACACUUGGUAUUUUUAACUCAGGUGAAUACACCUUUAAAUAACAAAGCUUAUUCUUUCUAAUUCUAAUCAACUCAGAGCUUACAAUUCAACAAAUACAAGUCAACGAUUGUUUAUUCUAGCAGUUCGUCUCAGCGUGUUCUCAUCAUUGGCAGUUAUUGUGAGUGCUUUUCAGUUGGAGUUUAUUGUCUGGAUUCUUAUGCAUGUCAAAACUGCUAUAACAAGCCUGAGUUUGAGCACACAGUUUUUGAGAUUCAUCAUCACAUUGAAUCUCGUAAUCCACUUGCAUUUACUUCAAAAGUUGUUGACAAUGCCAUUGAUUCUUCGGCCAACUCUACAGUAAUCCAUGUCAUACUAUGGGUUGUUCUUUUGUGUUGUUCAUUUGGAAGAAUUAUGAGCAUGAGAACUGUCCACAGGAAGACCAGAACUUGAUGACCACAUCCUCAGCCAGGCACAAGAGAGGUUGCAAUUGCAAGAAGUCAAAGUGUCUCGAAAAAUACUGUGAACGGUACCAGGUUUAUAUGUACAUUUUUACCUUUCACUUCAGUGUAUCUCCUGUUGAUAUAUAACCCUUGAGCUAAUAUCUUGGAGCUAAAGUUACAAAUUUUGAUUUUCCUUUUAUGUGCUUUAUCUUGCUGAUGUAAUAUGAGCCAUUGGAUCAUAGUCCAAGUGGUCUCUUCUCUAGCAUAGGAUCUAAGUGAUAUAACAAGACAAGUGGCAUCAUCUCAUAGGAUGAUAGCAAUGUAUGGUUGAGAUUGUGUUGUGUAUUGGUGAGUGAAGGAUCUCCCUUCCUCUACAUACAUAACGGUUACAAAUGUAUUUUUGGAGAUAGAGUGAAAUUGAAGAGACACAUUCAAUCUUCUUCUCUCUCAUUUCUCUGUUUUGUUCUUCAACCUCCAACACAGAGAUCUCCAUUGAAAAACACAUAAAAAAACACAAACUCUAAUAUGGCCUCAGAGCCAGGUUCGGUUAUCUAAACUGGGCGUAAAUCUGUGAAAAGGAAACUGGAAUUGAUUCGAGCUGCAAUCUAGCUCAUACGACGAUCGAGGUGGUGUGAUUUCUUGAAUCCGAUGUCUAACAUGGCAGGAUCAGGCACUGCUGAGCUUCGCACACCAGUUUUCAAUGGAGAAAAUUAUGAGUUCUGGAGCAUUCGAAUGAAAACCAUUCUGAAAUCUCAUGGGUUAUGGGAUCUCGUUGAAAAUGGGUUCGAUGCUUCAGAUCCAAAGAAGGAGAAGAAGAAGAUAGAAGAGAUCGAGGUCACGGAAGUGGAGAAGCCGACGUUAGCUGAAAUCCUGAUGAAGGAUGCUCGUGCACUUGGGUUGAUCCAAGGUGCUGUCUCAGACCAAAUUUUCCCCAGAAUUGUGAACGAAGAGACCUCAAAGGGUGCUUGGGACAUUCUGAAGCAAGAGUUCAGAGGAGAUAAGCAAGUAAGGAGCGUAAAAUUGCAAGGUUUGCGUCGAGAAUUUGAAUAUACUCGCAUGAAAGAUAGUGAAUCCUUAUCUGUAUAUCUCACUAGAUUGUUUGAUAUAAUGAAUCAAAUGAAGAGUUAUGGUGAGGAUCUGUCUAGAGAGAGAGUUGUGCAAAAAUUGUUGAUUAGUUUGCCUAGAUCAUAUGAUCCUAUUUGCUCCGUAAUUGAACAUUCUAAGGACCUUGAAACUCUUGAGAUUCAAGAGGUAGUUGCUUCUCUGAAAAGUUUUGAACUCAGAUUGGAUAGACAUGCUGAAAAUUCUACUGAACGAGCUUUUGCUAGUCUAAAUGUUGGAGGUAAAAACUCUAAGGGAAUAGGUUAUUCUGGAAAUCAAAAGUUUCAGAAAAACUGGAAAUUCAAAGGAAAGAAGUGGGAUAAUAAGCCAAAUUUUGUUCAAAGACCAAAUGUCUCUAAUGAUGGAAACAAGACAGUUUGUAGACAUUGUGAUAAAUUGCAUUAUGGCAAAUGUUGGUUUGAAGGGAAGCCAAAAUGCACAGGUUGUGGGAAACUUGGGCAUGUGAUCAGAGACUGCCAUGGAAACAAAAAUAUACAGAAGGUGAACUAUGUAAACCAUGUUGAAGAAACUAGUACCCUGUUCUAUGCAUGCAAUGCUAUGACAGAUGUGAAGGUGAAUCAUUCAUGGUACAUUGAUAGUGGUUGUAGUAACCACAUGACAGGUGAUGAAAGGUUACUAAUCAACAUCCAAAGGAAUCUGACUUCCAGGGUGAAGAUGGGAACUGGAGAGAUUGUUUAGGUUGCAGGAAAGGGGACUCUUGUUAUAGAGACCAAAUUGGGAAGAAAGCACAUUCAAGAAGUGAUGCUUGUUCUUGGACUUGAAGAGAAUCUGCUAAGUGUUGGACAGAUGAUGGAGCACGGGUACUAUCUAUUGUUUGGAGGAAAUAUUGUGAGUAUCUUCGAUGGUUGGUCAAUGGAUAAUCUUGUGGUUAGAGUGCAGAUGACAAACAACAGGUGUUUUCCUCUUACAAUGAUACCAGCAAAUCAGAUAGCCUUGAAAGCAAGUGUGACACACUGUAUGCAGAUAUGGCAUAAGCGUUUGGGGCAUCUAAAUAACAGAAGCAUCAAAAUGCUUGAAGAUCAAGAAAUGGUUCAUGGAUUGCCUCAUUUGGAGAAAACCUCUGUUGUGUGUGAAGGCUGCAUGCUAGGAAAGCAACACAGAGAGUCUUUUCCAUCAAAAUCAGCUUGGAGAGCAAAAUUUCCUUUGGAAUUGGUUCACACAGAUAUCUGUGGACCAAUACAAACUGAAUCUAUCUCUGGAAAUAAGUACUUUCUGUUGUUCACUGAUGAUUGUACUAGGAUGUCUUGGGUAUAUUUUCUCAGAAACAAGUCAAGUGCAUUUGAUUGUUUCAAGAAGUUUAAAGCAAUGACAGAGUUGCAGUGUGGAUAUAAGGUGAAAUGUCUAAGGAGUGAUCGGGGUGGAGAGUUCUUAUCAACUGAAUUUGAUAGUUACUGCAAUGAGCUUGGAAUUCAAAGGCAAUUAACCAUGGCAUAUUCUCCUCAACAGAAUGGAGUAGCUGAGAGGAAGAAUAGGACUGUGGUGGAAAUGGCAAAGUCUAUGAUGCAUGAAAAGGGUCUUUCUUAUGCAUUUUGGGCAGAGGCUGUGAACACUGCAGUCUACAUACUUAAUAGAUGUCCCUCAAAGUCCCUCAAGAAGAUAACUCCAUUUGAAGCAUACACUGGUAGAAAACCAGGCAUUGCACACUUGAAGAUCUUUGGGUCACUAUGCUAUGUGCACAUUCCCUCAACACUAAGGCAUAAGCUUGAAGAAAAUAGUUGCAAGUGUAUUUUUGUAGGCUAUGGAAUCUGUGAAAAAGGGUACAGAGUGUUUGAUCCAAGUUCUAAUAAGAUCAUCCUGUCUAGAGAUGUACACUUUGAUGAGAAUGCUUCAUGGGAGUGGGAGAACACUGAUAAGAGUGAAAUACAAGUUCCCAUGAUUAUUGAGAAUCAAAUGGAAGAUUGUAGUGAAAGACAGAAUCAAGUGGAAGUAUGUGAACCAAGACAAUUCUUGGAUACAUCAACUCAAGUGGAGGAUGUUGUUGCAUCACUAAGUGAGAAUGUUUUCGAAAGUUCUCAAACAACUGAUCACACACCACAGAAAUGGAGAAGUGUAAAUGAGAUCAUGGCUCAGUGUAACAUGUGCAUUGUAGAACCUGAAAACUAUGAAGAUGCUAUUCUAGAUGAGUCAUGGGAAAAUGCAAUGAAAUCUGAGCUUGAAAUGAUUGAGAAGAACAACACAUGGGAGCUAGUUGAUAGACCAUUUGACAAGCCAAUCAUUGGUGUUAAGUGGGUCUAUAAAACCAAGUUGAACCUUGAUGGAUCCGUGCAGAAAAACAAGGCCAGACUGGUGGCAAAAGGUUAUUCCCAAAAGCCUAGGAUAGAUUACAAUGAAACAUUCGCCCCAGUUGCAAGAUUAGAUACUAUUAGGACCUUGAUAGCACUUGCUGCACAGAAGGAAUGGAAUCUAUAUCAGUUGGAUGUAAAAUCUGCUUUUCUGAAUGGAACUUUGAAGGAGGAGGUUUAUGUUGAGCAGCCAAGGUUUUGUGAAGGAGAGUGAAGAAACCAAGGUGUAUAAGUUGAACAAGGCUCUGUAUGGGUUGAAGCAAGCUCCGAGAGCUUGGUAUGAUGAGAUAGAUUCCUAUUUCGGCAAGGCAGGUUUCAAGAAGAGUUCUAGUGAAGCAACACUUUAUGUUAAAACUAGUGAAGCUACAGGUAUCAUUAUUGUUUCAUGUGGACGAUAUUGUAUAUACUGGAAGUUGUCCAAAACUACUCGAAGAGUUCAAAAAUGACAUGAUGCAGCAUUAUGAGAUGACUGAUCUGGGGUUACUUCAUCAUUUUCUUGGCGUGGGAGUAGUGCAAACAGAUAAAAACAUUUUUAUCCACCAGAGAAAAUAUGCAAUGAAGCUUAUUGAGAAAUUUGGGAUGAAAGAUUGCAAAUCAGUAGCAACACCACUGGCUGUGAAUGAGAAGUUAUGCAAGACAGAUGGUAGUGAAGCAGCAAAUGAAAGUGAAUAUAGACAAGUUGUAGGUAGCUUGUUAUACUUGACUGCUACAAGGCCGGAUAUAAUGUUUGCUUCUAGUUUACUUGCUAGAUUCAUGCAUAACCCCACAAAGAAACACAUGGGAACAACCAAAAGGGUGUUGAGAUAUAUUCAGGGCACUCUUGAUUUUGGAAUUGAAUUUGUAAAAGGGAAGACAACUACUUUGAUAGGGUACUGUGAUAGUGACUGGGCAGGAAGUGAGGAUGACAUGAGAAGCACCUCAGGAUAUGCAUUUACACUUGGAUCCGGUAUGUUUUCAUGGGCAUCAAUCAAACAAAACACAGUGGCACUGUCCACUGCAGAAGCAGAAUAUGUCAGUGCUGCAGAAGCAACAUCACAUGCUAAAUGGCUAAGGUUUGUGCUUGAAGAUUUUGGUGAGGAGCAAGUGGAAGGCACACCAAUUCUGUGCGACAACACUUCAGCCAUAGCAAUGGCAAAGAAUCCAGUUCUACACCAGAGAACUAGGCACAUCAGUAGGAAAUUUCAUUUUAUCAGGGAAGCUAUCCAAACAAAGGAGAUUGAACUUGUCUACUGCAAAACAGAAGACCAGAUUGCAGAUAUACUGACCAAGGCUCUGUCAAAAGAUCGAUUUGUCUACCUAAGAGAUCUACUUGGUGUGAAAUCAGCUAAAGGGUUAGAAGGGAGUGUUGAUAUAUAACCCUUGAGCUAAUAUCUUGGAGCUAAAGUUACAAAUUUUGAUUUUCCUUUUAUGUGCUUUAUCUUGCUGAUGUAAUCUGAGCCAUUGGAUCAUAGUCCAAGUGGUCUCUUCUCUAGCAUAGGAUCUAAGUGAUAUAACAAGACAAGUGGCAUCAUCUCAUAGGAUGAUAGCAAUGUAUGGUUGAGAUUGUGUUGUGUAUUGGUGAGUGAAGGAUCUCCCUUCCUCUACAUACAUAACGGUUACAAAUGUAUUUUUGGAGAUAGAGUGAAAUCGAAGAGACACAUUCAAUCUUCUUCUCUCUCAUUUCUCUGUUUUGUUCUUCAACCUCCAACACAGAGAUCUCCAUUGAAAAACACAUAAAACACAAACUCUAAUAUCUCCUGCUUCUGAAACAUGGUGUUUCUCCGAGUUCAUUGAACUAGAUUUGGACAAGGAACUUGAUUUAUCAUUUUUUUUCUCCUUUUUUGUUCCGGAAGGCUAAAGUUGGCUGUUUUGGAGGAUGUCGAUGCGAGGAUUGCCAAAAUACCUUUGGCACUAUGGCAGGUCAGAUUUUGUUUGAUAUGAUACACCUCACUCUUUUGGUCUUCACUCGUUCUUUUUUGUAUACGAGUGUACGACUAUCGUGUUUCAGCAGCAUAGACAAUGAAACAAUAGAGAUUUAAGAUGGUUUUGUUCUGUUAUCCUACAAUUGCAGAGUCAGUAUAUAACGGAGCUAAAAGGUGGGAACCCCACCCUACUGCGAAGCUGGCUUCGAGCAUCAAUCAAACUCUCCGACAUUUGAAGUACCUUCUGAUAUAAGCAAAUCUUACACCAUUGAUAAAUCCUACCUCACGUCCAGCGAUUUCUUCAGCUUCAUCAAGUAGAAGAAACUCUGGGAAAAUUCCACAAGCGCAACUGCCAUCAAGUAAGCAUCCAUCAAAUACUGGACGCUUGAACUGGGGCUGUUCACCCGUCAUUGCCACCCAGUAGUUACCUGAAGGUAACGUUCCCUGUGUACUGAGUUCUGCUGGUGCACAUCAUGACAUGAUGGAUGAUGAUACACCUGAGAUACUUGGGGAAACUUCUUACCCUUCCAAGGUUGUAAUGGUUAGCUCACCAAACAAGAAACGUGUCUCACUUCCACAAUCCCCGAUCCAGGUUAAGGUCGAGCUCUCCUACAGGCUUGAGAAGUGGCCGCAAAUUCAUUUUGCACGCUGUGCCUUUUUUCCCUCCUCUUACCCCGUACCACACUUCUAAAGAAGGCACUAGUGAAAUUGGGAAUGAUGAUGGAGCUACCAACAAGAACAAUUGGUACGAGGCACGAUUCGGAUGUUUUUCAGAGCUGAUUAUGGACAAUCUGCUUACAGCUUACAGCAUUGAGCAGAAUAACUGGACAAAGCUACUGAUCGGCUUCCAACUUCCGCAAAUUCAUCCAAAGACUACCUCUGUAUUGCCAGAAGUUCGGUAAGCCUUGUUCUAAAAGGCAGUGCUAUUUCUUGAUGCCAUUGCAAAGCUCGGUCAUAUCGUUGUAUCAAAAAACAAGCAGUCAUUACUUGAGUGCAAACUUGCAAUUACUCUGUUGCUGCAAUCUGCUUUCACUCUUAUGAUGAACUUGCAUGCUCCUCUUGCAAUAUCGUUCUAUCAAAAUACAAAAAAUAAAAGUACAAACUCGUAAAAUAAUAUAAUAAUAAUAACAAUAAUACAUUAAUGAAUACCAAAACAAAGUACAUCCAAAAUUCAGUCCCUACUCACUACUGCCUACAAGUGGUAUACAAAUAUCACACCCAAAACUUUAUUUGUAGGGAAGAACAGAACACAAAUGGGAAUUAGAAAGGUCAAUCUAGCUGCUGUACUCAUAUACUCCAUGCCCCAUUUUUUAUAACGCCUACUUGUACAUGUGCGUUUCUCAUUCAUUAUUGUUAGAUACAUACUACUUCCUCAUUAGCUCCAGGCGGAAACUGUCAGAUUUAUGAGCGAUACCCGUCAAGCCCCAGCCGUGCAGAAAGCCAACUGGAGACCUCAUUCAUCUCUUUAGGGAUAGUGUAGUGGCCGAGCCUGAAAUGUUAAACGAAAUACUCAGAAAAUCUGCUUAAACCUCAUAAGGGUUUGAACAAGAUAUGUUAUUUGAGUAUGUUUUUCUUAUGGAAAUGAAUCUUUACCCUUCAAAUGGUUUGAACGAAAGGUAUCGGAAUCCUGCUGAAGUCAAGCACUGGACUGAUUUCUCUCCAUAUUUGUAGGCUACUUCACCAUCACCUACAAAAAAUGUGUGAUCAGUUUCGCAUACUGAUUGUCGAUCAUCUACAGUGCAGCAUACUGGCUUCUGGUGUGUGACAUAUAUCAAGUGACCUAGAAACUGUUCAAAUAAAUGCAAACUGCAGUAUUGGCAAAAAAAGUUCUAUGGAGACAUACUGGUUCCAUGGCAUUGCAAAAUGGGUAAUGAUGCGGCACGCCUCAAAGCCUCGUGUGAACCUUCUAUUUUGUUCCAUAAGCUCCUGCACAAAGUUGCAAACCUUUUAAUUGUCGGACAUGGAAGUCUUUUGAUAUUGAUACUCGGAUCAACGGGUACAAAGUCAUACCUUGCUCCUGGAAGCCAGCCACUUAGUCCAACAACUGCCCUCAGAUUGAGAGGGUAUGGGUUGCCAUUUCCGUACCUACCCGCAGCAUAACAAGUUGCAGAGUAAAGGGCCAUUGCAGCACCCAUGCUAAAGCCUCCAAUACCGACUUUAACUGCCAUAAGAAAACGUGAUAAACAUUUCAAACAUUCAGAAAUGAAAACAACCUGCAUAAACUCGGAAUAAUUUCUUGAAAACUUGUGCACGUUUUAACAAUGAUGAUUUGUAAGAAACGGAGGAAAAAGAAUCCCAGGAAGUUAAUAAUUUUAAAGUAGUUUAGAACUGAACGCACCAUCAGCUGGCUCAGUUGACAACAAGUUCGCAAUAUGCGCUGCUGAAGCAUCUAAAUUCUCCCAAUCAUCUGGACCAUCAUCUGAAAGCUCUCCCAUUUCAAACCCUGAAAAAGAAUCGAAUAAUUCAGAAGAUUAUUAUCAAUAUCAAAGCACCACCAGAUACUGGAUUUCAUCUGAAGAAAUUUAGUUUUUCUUUUCUUUGGUUAUGACUCAUGAGAGUAUGAAGUGCAAAGCAAACUACUUCUUCAUCUAACCGAAAUAUAAUCUUACAUGCAGUGCAAGGAAAUCCACCUAGUACAGCCACAGGACGGGUAGGAGCAGUUGGGCAGAUCCACUUAAUCUGUUUCAUAUAUUACCAAAGGUAAUUAACGCACAGGUUGAACAAAGUAGAGAGAUAUAAGCAUGUGCGAACAGAAAUACAAAUUCUUAAGCUUACAAAAUAGUUGGAGAGACAUAUAUGCUUACAUUUGGAAGUGGUAGAGAUUCCAACAUUUGAGAUGUGCUACAGAGAGAAGGAGCAUAACAUGAGACAUAUAACUCUUACAUUAUUCAACACGCAGAAACUUCAACGGCUAAAAUAAAUUGAAACAGCAGGUGAAGCCUGUGCAGCUCUUUUGAACAUGACAGCAUACUAGUUGAGAAAGCAUCAACACAAGCAAUGAAAGCACAAGUGCGGUAAAAAGUCCAGAAUUGUAUCGAGGAUAAAAGGAACGGAACCAGUUCAUGUGUUGAUCAAGUAAGAAUAAUCAAUACUUAGAAAGCAUAUCAGUAAACAAAUUAAGUGUAUUUCUGGUUACCCACUUGGAGAACAAAGUAAACUAGCGGUCCCCCAGUAAUGACUUUGGCAUAUACUAUUUCCAAAUCAAGGCUUCCCAAAUUAAGUUUGCCAUGGAUCAGAUUAGAAGUGAAAGGGACAUUUAUCAUAUCAUAUAAUCUCACGGUGCUACUGCUCUCUUAAUCGAAUUUAUUCGAUUGAGAACCUCACUGAAAAGAUGCUGAAAAGAUGUAUAAUGGAGCCCUCCUUUUUCAAGUUAUAGAGUAUGUACAGGUGUUGACAUUUCCUGAAACACGAUUCAUUUUUCUCAUAUACGAAAAAACCAAAAAGUUCAUCCUUCCAUUAAAGGACGUGUACUUCAUACAAAAGGGAAGGAAUGAAGAAUUAUAUUGACCGGUGAUAAUAAAUCAGGUUAUAAACACCAAAUAUAGAAAAAAACCUGUCUUAUGAUAAAGUUAAUAUGAAAUGGAGAAUGAUGUAGUUUGGCGGUGUAAUGGAAAAGCACACUUGAUACUCAAAUUCGAUUAUGAACUUAACUAUUUAACUGAGGAUUACUACUGUAAACUGCUGAGUAGGAAACUUAUAUGGUAUUCAGGUUGUCUGCUCUAUGCGCCACAACAUUAGUUGGAAGAACUUCUCUAUGUGCCACAACAUUGGAUAGAGUAUCUUCAAGAGAAGGCCUAUCAGAUACAGAACCGCAACAACGUACGGUAUAUCACUCACAAACAGAGCAAAGGAAUAGAAAGGGACAGAGAAACAGUACCUUGAGCCGUUAUCUCCAAGUCCAUGCAGCCAGACCAUUGUUGCUUGAUGCUUUCCUUUGGGCCUCACCACAUGUGUCCUACCAAACUCAAUUCUCUUAGCAGUUCUGCUACCUGAAAUUUUUGUCAACAAAAAGUGGCUACUCAGCAACUAUACAGGUUUAUGCUGCCACAAUUCUCUUUUUUCAAGGAUAUGGACCAAGAAAAUCACCGUUCAUUGCACUAGUAGAAAUCAAUAAUAAGAACACAAAACUUAAGACAGCAAAAACUGGAAAUUGAGUUACCUAACAAUUGAAUGAAAUAUAGUAAAGAUAUAUAGACUUGAACAAAUUUAGACAAUGAAAGGUGCUAAUGCUAUAUAUAUGAUGGGCAGGAAACCAACCAGAAGACAUGUUAGAAUGCGUAUAGCUCAUCUUUGUGUGUUUUUCGGGUAAGCUGCUGCGCUAAACAGGCCGCUCUAUUGCAACAAGCUAGGAGAAGGCACUGCAAUGUAGAAAACCCAGAAUGAGAGUGUAUUUAUAGGCAAAUGGGGUUGGGGGGAAGAGUGAGAAAAAUGGAAUAAAACAUGUGUUAAUAUGCAUCAUUUGUCACUAUUAAGAUCAGUGUGCAAUGCAUACCAGCUACGCCAAAAACCGCCUAGAAACUCAAAAGGAGAGAAAGCACAGCAAAGCAAAGCAUCAAUGAAAAGGAGAGCUAAAGAAAGGGACAAAAGUAGGAAGAGAGCAGAGAGAAUCCAUGCCAGAGUUGAGCACAUUCAUCCAUUCAUUAGAGAGAGAGAGCUCUUGCAACAUAGACAGACAGACACAGACAACAUCUAGAGAGAGAGAGAGGAAUCUAUGCUUGUGGGUAGCGGCCAGAAAUAAAGCAAAAAUCAAACAGCAACACCAAAAACUGAAAAGAAUAUUGCUGAAAACAAAAGAAUAACCCUAGUUUGUGAAAGAAAAAUAUCUUUUUUUUUCCAAUCAUUAGUUAAUGAAUUUUUCUUGAUUGAUGGAUACACCUUAACCACUAUUAAAGUUUUUCAAGUAUUACAAUUUCUUUUUUCUGGUUUACAUUCUAGUGCUCAUUUUCUAAACAUGAUAUUAACAAGUGAAAAGAAGCAGGAAACCGUAAGAACGAAGAACUGGCUUCCAUCCAGCCUCCAGCUUUCUCUAUCUGUCACUUGUACCCUUUUUCUUCUUAUAAAUCUUAAUGAAUUUCUGAUUGUAUAUACAAUAUUGCUACCAAGACAUACAUACAUAUAUAUAUAUAUAUAUGUGUGUGUGUGUGUUUGUGUGUAUGUGUGUGUGUAUAUAUAUAUAUAUAAUAAACAAUAAUACUAUAAUAACUUAUAUUUCCAAAAAGAUUUGUGCAUAAAUCACCAACCUGGAUUUGUUAUAUGGAAGAGACAAGGGGAAAAGUAUGGGAACUUUUUUCUCUCCUUCCAUCACCUUUUGCCAAAUGCCAACUUUCUUACUUUCCAUACCGAACCCCCACCUUUAAAAGUUUUAUCUGUUCACAUUCAUUACAGACGCCAACCAAAAUCACUAGAAUUUUUUUAGCGGUGACAUGACGUUUCUUUUUCAUAAUUUUAUUAUCUUUUUCAUAAUUUUAAUAUCAAACGAUAUUACUAUUAAGCUAACUCUUAAAUGACAAGUAAUCGUAAAUAACAAGUUUGAUAUCAAUUUAUUAUCCAUUUUUCUUAGUAUAAAUAUAUCAUUUGUAAAAAAAACAGAAAAAAAAAAAGUGGAUAUGAAAGAUGCAACGAGUUAAAAGAGAAAAACUUUAUCUAACAUGGCAAUCACCACUUACGUCCCAUGAUGUUUUUAAUCUACAUAUUAUAAUAUGAGUGAACAUAAUAAUGUCAUAGACUUAAAAGCAGUGUUAAUUAAUAACACACAUGUUUAUGUGUGGAUUAAUUUGUAAUACCAGAUUGAAGUGGAGAAAACUUACUCGUCCCAAAAAAGUAGUGUUAAUUAAAAAUGAAUAAUCACAUACAUCAUUUCUGAAGUCGAUCUAAGCAUCUCUAAGGGACUGGUUAAACUCACAUUAUAUUGCUUUAGCUAUUCUAACCUAAAACCACUCAAACUUUAGAGACUAGUUAUGUUUCAUCUUAAAACAGCUAUGCGAAUAGUUGCCAACUAUAUUUAGCUUAUGAGGAGAGUGAAAUUGGAAAAAAUUUAAACUUCUUUUUUUGUCAAAUUGCACACAUUGCAUGUGACUCAUCAUAGUCGGAUGAGUCAUCAAGAGUAACACAUGUCAACAUCUGAGACAUCCACCAAACAAAUCAAAUCAAGAAAAAAAAAACUGCAAAUUAAUCCUAAUUGAUCAAAUCCCUCAAUUAUGGUUUAAAUCCCUCAAUUAUGCUACCUAGUGCUACGGUCUAGUAGUAUUCAUCUUCACUUGUACGUGAGAGGUCUUAGGUUCGAUUUUCGCCAAAUGCGCAUUUGAACCACAUUACUGCUAGCCCAUUGUGAGGCUAAGCACACCCCCUCCCCCUCCCUUAAUGUAGAUAAUAUCGCUUGUUCAAAAAGAAAAAUCCCUCAAUUAUGGUUUAAUACUUAAACUACUUAUUCUGAAUUAAUUAGUGACUAAAUUAAAUCAAUUAGUCUAAUUAAAUUAAAUCAAAUACAGAAAGGGAAGAAUUAACUCUAAUUUGGUCAAAUUCUAUCACUUAGGGUUUAAUUUUCUAAAUUAAAGAUCUGACUUAAUUAAGUGCUAAAUUAAAUAAUUAGCUCAAACUAAAUCAAAUCAGAAAGUCAACCCCACAAAUCUCUCGCUUAUAAAUACUAGACUCCUUUUCAAGAAAGAUGACUUUAGAGAAACAAAGUAAGUCCAAACCAUUGGAGAAAACCAAAAAGCUCAAUGGCCGAAGUAAAUACCAAACUCAUCAAACUUGUGGAGAAUCAACAAGCACAACAAAUACACAUCAAUUAUCCACACCAAAGCCGAAGACCACCACGCGAAACUGCUUAUGGUCUCGUUUUGUUCCAGAUCAAACCUUGAUGGCCCCUUGAAGAAAUCUCGUUCCGAUUCAAGAUCAAGUGCUGUGCUUUUGAAAAUGCUCUAGAUUAACCCAAAAAAAUGUUUUCACAUCGUCCUUUAUUUCCUUUGGCAACAAGCAAGUUAACGCCAGAAGUUUUAAUUAUGAUUAAUUCAUAUUCCGAUCCUACUUUAACCUCAAAUGCUGUUAUCCAUACACGUACAAGUUUAACUCUUUGUUUUGUUCCAAAUUAUUUUGUAGUUGGUCACUCAGAAAGUGGCACAGGAAUAAAUCCUGGUUUGAUUGUGAUAAAUUUGAUAACAAGAACCGCCAAUUACUUACUAAGAGGCUCCAUAGAGAAUUAGAUUAGGGUCCAAAGCACAUUAUGCACCACUAAGAUGCAGCAUCCAUGCAACAUGGUGAUGUGCAAGAAGGUUUCCAUUAACUUUCUCUGCUUUACUUUUUAUUUGUUUUUUCUUUCUUUACCCUUGUGAAAAUUUUAUGCAAAUUUGAUAACUAGAACAUUUUUUGUUCUGCACAGAUUAAUGUAUACGAGACAAUUCACAUAGCAAGAAAAAUCACAAUUAAAAAAAACUUCAGUGUUAAUUGUUUAUGAAUGCAUGCAAUUAUAGAUUUUCUAAUAAAAACUUCCCACUCAUUAAUUUUUUUUAUCAACCAACAAUUAUUUACGAAAUUUAAACUCACGAUCUCUUCCAAAAAGUAAAUAUAGACUAAAUUAUCAUAAUUAUCAUUAACACAAACCCUAUACUAAGACAGUUGACAAACAUCUUUAAUCUGGAAAUACUUCUAACAGGCAAACGGUAGUAAAAUGGCAGAAUCUAAUUACUUUACGAGGUCAACAUGCAUUAAGACAAGUUUUCCCUACUUUAUGGAAAUAAUUAUAGAUUAGUAGCACAACUUUUUUCCUUUUCAACUCCUUUCUUUUCCCACACUCCAUAGGGGAGAAUCAUUGUCCAUUAGAAAAAUGGGUUUAUACUAACUAAAUCUUUGUUUAAAACAGACGAUAAUAUGCUGUUGGCACUACUGUCUGUCAAUGGAUUUUAUUUAAUUCAGUUCAUGGUAGAUUUAUCAAAGGAUGCAAAUGGUUUAAGUUUCCACUUUUUGAAAUUUUGGACAAAGUAUCCUACUAAAAUAUGUUCAUUAAAUAUAGAGAGGGCGCUGCAACUUUCUAACUUUUAGAAACCAAUGCAGCUCACAAGUUACUAUGUUUGUUUGUUUCAUUUGCAAAGCUGGAUUGCACAAACAAAAGUCUAAUCUACAGGAGAAACAUCCAGGGUUCUUAAUGAACUUCAACCUAGCUAUUUGUUAAUGCAUAAAAAAGUUAAGCAUUAAGUACAUCUAGGCAAGAAGCAGGUUCUCCUCUAUUGACUAGACAGUUAUGAAUUGUACACCAUACCAUUUCUUUAGAGUAUUACUUUGUUUAGUUAGAUAAGUGAAUUAUCAUUUGCUUUGGCGACAUAUGAAAGAGGUCCUAAGUUCUAGUCUCAUGAACAAUAAUUUGUUUUGUUGAAUAAAUAAAUAAAUAAAUAAACAUGUAUAUAGUUGGAUUAGUGAAAAAUUACUCAAACAAACUCCGACAACCACCAUGGCAAGGUGACUUUUAUGUUAGAAUUUGAUCAUGAGUCUAAAUCUUUAGGCCGGCUAUUUUGUUCUUACUGAUAUAGACGAAUUACACGGAUUGUCAGUCUGAAAGAUUAUCAGUUUCAUACAUGCAUGGAUUCGAAUAGAAGAAUCAGAGGAAUUGUUUGUAUAUACAUAGUAGCCUCUACUCUCACCAAAGAUAUGCUUAAUUAUUGAACCAAGAACCUCUUAGUAGUUUAGCAUCGAGCUUUUGACAGAGAGGAGAAGGACCACUAUCGACUAUAUGGCCUAGUUCAUCGAUCUCUACAGGUGUUUUUCAUUCUUAUUUGAAUUACAAGGUUUAGAUUUAGAGCUGUCGUGGAUCCCUUAUCUUGCUCUUAUAGCGUCCUUAUAGAUCUUCUGUUGUGCUCUUAUAGAGCCGUUCUAGUUUGUAUUAAUGUUGUGAUUUAUUAACUAAAUUUUGAUCUAUGAGAGUUUAAACAUAUUCUUACAUUUUAUUGACUCCUUAAAAUUUUAUUUUCAAUGCAUUUGGAUUUGAGAGUCUAUAAAAAUUCAUCAAACUCCAUACACUAUUAGAAAUUAUCAUUUGCCCGAUGAACCAUUUUUCGUCAGGUCGAGACACUUUACCCAACCAAAAAACUUUGGUUGAGCAAAACUGGUCAACUUUUAGGGUUUUGUCAGAGGCUUUGGGCAACGAUAAAUGUUCCGAACCAUAGUACAAACCCCUGGUCAGAGUUUUACAUGCAGGGCUGAAAAGAUGGAUUCAAGGUGGAAUGGGCCUUUAACUUCCUAGAAUGAUUUAGAUGCCUUAGGAGAUAUUUUGUUAAGUUUAUUUUACUCAAUUCACUGAGCCUGUUAGGGUGCGUUUGUUGCACCGGACUAUCUCGGAUUGGAUUAGCUUCAGGGACUAAGCUAGACUUUCUUAGAUUAGACUAAACUGGACUAACUUAGUGAAGCGUUUGGUGUAGUGUCGGACUAAAAAUCUAAAUAAAAUAACAAAUUAUAAUAUUAUAUUAUUUAAUAUAUCUAAUAAUAUUUUAUUAUUAAUUCAACUUUGUUUUUCCCUAAAAGUUCGAACAAACACUUCUACCUCUCUCCAGAAAUUUUUUACUUUUGUUCCUCUUUGGUUCCGUCCCCAAUUCUUGCUUUCCUCCCAUCAUUUUCCUGCAAAAGGCUUCAAUACCAAGUUUCUUGCAAAAUCGUCCCCAAAGGUACCUUCUCCUCCCUUUCUGUCUCUUAAUCUCUCUUCAUCCCCAACUCUCUCCCCUUCUCUAUCCAUUUCUCUCCGGAAUUUUCUAGAGAAAAGGGAACCUUUAUGGGAAUUUUCUGGGAAUUUUCGAAAAUAAGGUAGAAUUUUUCUAUUGAGAUUGUUGAUGUUAUUGUUUUGCUUCUUCUUUUUUUUUUUCUUUUUUUUUUCGGAUCUUGGUGGUUGGAUUUUGAGAUUUAGGUUAUGAGUGGGUUUGGGUUUCAAAUUUGGGCAGAUGGAGUUGCCCAGAAGCAUGGAGACUUGCAGCUUUCAUACGACAUGCAGACAAUUUUGAGAACGGGACUAGCAAUCCCAUAGUUUUUGAGGGGUUUCACAAAGACCGGCUAAUCCCAUGGUUAGUCGGGGCGAGUGAAGGUUAGUGCCAUUAAAGUUAGUCCCAGCAGGUACCAAACACGGGACUGGACUAACCCUUAGUCCAGUCCAAUCCAGUGAGAGUUAACGAGGGCAAACAAAUGCCCCCUUAGAGUAAAACACUUGAAACUUCUCAUCCCUUGCUUCCUUAUCACGAAAUAUAGUUUAAUCCAACAAACUUUUCGUAGUAAACUAACUUCGAACGAAUGUUGAAGCGAUACAAGAAGUUUGUAGGUACAGAACAGAGCUAGAAGCUCCCCUUGGUAAUGUUGAUUUGGAAAAACAUCACCUCCUAAACUUAGUGUUUAUAAAGAUUUUCACCACGAUAAUCGGAGUACCACUCUACUCUGACAUCGAGUACUGAGCCUAUGAGAAAUCUUUUAUCCUAUAUUUGCUUUAAUGUAUUGAUCGGAUUGAGGAUGAGAAAGUGCCGAAUCAUACCUGGAAUGCCUCCAGAUCUUAAUGUCAGUCUAAUAUGUUUGAGCUACCUUGUUCGUUGAUAACAUUUUCAGAAGAUUAACCUAAAUGUUGUUGUAUAAAGUUGAGCAUGACUCUGAUUCAUUUUGUUCUUUCACCUUGCCCCAUUCUAUGUCCGAGGAUUUUAAUAGUCGCAAUGUGUCAUCAAGAAGGGGUUUCAUUCUCAAUCUGAAUUGCAUUUCCAUUAAAUGAAAGUUUGUUAGGGACUUGGUCGCUUGCGUCCAGGUCAGAAACACUUUUGGAAUCCUUUCGUCACACCUUAUGCAUUCAACCUGUGUUUUUUUUAUCGGACUACACUUAGCUGACUUGGCUAAUGCAUAUUAUCAGAGCUCCACUGGAUUAAAAUUCUUCUUGAGGAUUACCUAGUAUGGAUGCCUCAUUCAGACCUGCAUUACACACAUGGUGCCGUAAAAUGUGCUUGGCUUAGUACGCUGGUUGAGGGUAAAACCACAGACUGAAUUGACAUGGUCAUCAAAUAUGAUGAUCAUUUAACCGUUUGAAAAAAAUAAAAAAUUACGACUAUUUGCCUGACAAAAUUUACCUAUUUCUUCGGACUAACGUACCUAAGAAAUAGCAUAGGGGGAACGGGUGAGGGGUGGGGGGACGGGGGACGGGGGACGGGGGUGGGUAAGGUUGAGGAAAUAUUAGAAAUUUGUAGGAAUUAUUAUGAAUUCAAGGAAAUAUUAGAAAUUUUUAGGAAAUAUUAUAAUUUUUUCUAUAUUAUAAAUUUGUAGGAAUAAUAGAAAAUUUUAGGGAAAAUGAGAUUUUUUUUUGGUGUACUAAAUUUUUUUUUUGAAAAAUAUUAGAAACUUUUGAUAUAUUACAAAUUUGUAGGAAAUAUUAUAAAUUUUUAGGAAAAAUUGGAAUAUUAAGAAAUUGUUUGCAAUUUUUUCUAUAGAUGUCAUUAUCACUCACUGUCCUCAUAAGGCAAGGCAGCAUUAGGAUUGUUUACAAUCCACUAAAUAUUUGCCCGGACGUCGAAGUCAACAUGUGGUUGAUUGCCAAGAUGGAAGCCAUCAUCCACACGACGUGCCCCAUGAAAGCCUCUAAAUAAAAGAAACAUUUUCCUGAGGUGAAGGAGGCAAUGAUGGUAGUGCUCGCGCUAGGUGUGUGUUUGUUUUUUAAAUUUAUUAUUUUUAAUAUUUUUUUUUUAUUUUGUGUAUUUUUUUAACUAGCAUAUGUUUUUUUUUUUUUUUUCUAUUUCCGAACAACCACAAGAUCGAAGAGCCAGGUAUCUCCAAUUACAUAACCCGAUUAUGGAUUCAGCGGUUUAGGGAGUGGAUGCACGUGUGGCACUACAUGACCCUUGAAGCUCAAGAUGAAGAUUUGACUCAUCCACCCCAGGAUUUGGUGAAUAGAAUGGACGAGUGCCACUGGCUCUACAAUCAAUUUCAUAACUUAUAAUUUCUACAGAUGGACGUCUUUGAAAGUGAAGAAGUGGACAUUUACUUAGAGACAAUGUGCCACCAAGAAUAAACUCGUUUUUCAGUUUUAAUAUAAUUGUACGGACAUUUCAAUUUUUGAUAUAAUUAAUAAAUAAAAAAUUAUAUUGUGAUAUCUUUUCAGGUAAAUAUAAUAAUUAAAUCAAAUAUACUUAAAUUUUAUUUAUAUAAUUUUUUUUUAAAUUAAGAGUUUGUUCGACGAAAAAAGUGGCUAAGCAAGCAUUUUAUAUUCUAAUUUUUUUUCUUUAUAUAGCUUGCUCAACGAAAAUUUUGAUUGCCUAAAUAUAAUUUUUAUUUUAUUUUAAGUAAAUACAACUUUGUUUGAUGAAAUUAUUUAGUCAGGCAUGUUAUGUUCGUUGAGCAAAGUUGGUCAACGCACUAUUGCUCAACGGUUUUUUAUUUAUGUUGAGCAAAACUUCGUGCAACGAGCUUUGUGUGAUGAACUUGGCUCGACAAAGUUAUGUCGGGCAUUUCCUUAGCUGACGAAACCUUAUUAUGGGUUGUCUAGAAGGGUGUUAUUUUUGUAGUGAUAUAAGAAUACACUCGCUUAGUAAGACACUAUUAAUUUUGUAGCUCUCUCAUGAUAACAUGAUAUCUGAUGUUACAGAUAAUAACACUACAUAUUAUUCAAUGACAAUAACAAUACUUGUUAGUGAGUCGCAAUACAAGGAAAAACUUGGUACCACACAAGACUAUACGCACAUAAAAAUUUGUGGCAUAAGAAGAAUAUAGUGUUGGGUUUUCACCCAUACGUCUCGAGUACUUUCCUCUAAAUAUUGCAAUAGUUUUGAACCCUCUCCCUGUUCUUAAUAAUAGUUUAAUUGAAAAAAAAAAAUUUAUCUUUCUUUUUGGGUCGGCCACCUUGUAAACCAGCGUGAAGUUUUAUUCUUCUAUGAAAUAAUCCUUAGAUUAAUUGAUUCAUAUGGACUGAUUAAGUGAUGUUAAAUAUAUAAGCAAUAAUGUUUUUUACGUUUGUUUAGCGAUAUUGUUUCCUUCUAAUAUUAUAAAACUUAAUUGUCAGCUCCAGUCCUUUCUCUCCUUUUCUCUGCAAACUUACAUAAACCUCCAUCCACAGACCACCAAAUAGAAGUCAUUUUUCAAAUUCCAGGGGAGCUUUGUGCUAGGUUUUGUCUGACCUCGCUGUUCUUGUAAGGUUUUGUGUUUUCCCUAAUAGAGACCAUGUAUUUACUUUGCAAAACUCGUCUUCCGAACUAAAAAUUUGAAAAAACAAUGAAAAUACAUAUUUUUUUGGAAACUUUAACGAAAAAUCAUAUUUUUACAUUUAAAAGUCAAUCUUGGUACUAUUCACUUUACCCUUUAUUUUUUUCUUAUCAUUAAAACUCAAAGUUUUCAAGCCAUUUUUAUUAGUUUUCCUUAUUUUAUUUUGUCUACAGUUGAGCGGGAUCCCUGCUAAAAAACAGCUUUAAUUAUAUAUAUUCUGUACUUGUACUAGAGCACUGCUUUUAAGUGGAUCAAAAAUAGUAGACCAAGUUGAUGGAUAAAGCUCCACUCAUAUAUCGUAUAUGGCUUUCAAAUUCCACAUGAUUAGUUGAUUCAUAGAAUCAAGAUUGGUUAUAUUCUUUUCUUCUCAUUAUUAUAAAAAAGAAUGAAGAGUGUUGUUAUCCGUAAAAUCAAUAAAACUUGAUUACUAAGCGUUUUGGUGGCUGAGACAUCACUUAGGAAAGGUCUAAUUGUGGGCCUAUGAUAUCAUAAGAUAUGCAUUAGUCGAUGAAAGUUGCCUACUCUGUGUGUGGCCGACUGACGCAAACACAACUCAUAAAAUAAUUUGUAAUUCAUGUUUACAAUACCCAAGAACGCACUUGUGACGGCAGGCUGUAACUAAGAACUUGCCCAAGUGUUGCCAUGCAUGUUUAGUAGCUACCUUCUACUUGCUUGUUGAGAGGCUAGAUAAUUAUGUUGUUGAUAUACCUUAGCAGAGAUUUAUCUUGAUAUUUACUGAUAAUUGCGUUGUUUGAAACUUUGAUGUCCUUAAUUAUGGCCUUUGUCGGCAUUUCGCAUAUUACAUCAUUAAUCUCUUUUUAUGUUUUUGGCUGCAUAGAUAAGUAAUGAAAAAUGUUAAGGAGACUCUUUAUAGACUUUCUGUUAUCUCAUUUUUUGAGCACAAUUUUUUAUAAUGUUGCACGGAAAUUGUGUCAAAAACAUGAGAUGGUGGAGAACCCAUAGAGAAUCCCACUUUCAGAGAAUCUCUUAAGCAUUUCUCAUAAACAAUUUACAUAAACAAUAACGGGCAUACAAAUUAAGAACAUAUAUGGUGGGAUUCAAAAUCUCCACAAAGUUUUCCUUUCACCAAAGCAACAAAACCAAGUUUUGGCCGAGAGAUUGAAGUAAUGAAAUCGGAAAUAUGUAUACUUAACAUAUAACUACAGUUUCUCUUAUUUAGAAUUGAUUGUAUAAUCUAUCUCUGUCAUCACGUAAACAUUAGACUUAUACGUAACAUUAUUCUAUAAACACGUAAGAGCAUUAUGUACUCUAUCCUCUUUUUUCCUUUAUAAUUUUCCCCUUCGUUUGUAGAAACAGAAUGUCUUUAUGCUCAUAGAUUUAGGAUCCCUUAACAUAUAAUGAAAAAUAAAAAGAGUAACUGGUAAAUAUACACAUCGCUAUCAGAAAUGAAGGAAUGUUGGUUUGCGUACGUCCAAAUAUUUUGUCAUGCAUUUCUCAGCUCAUUUUUCUGAGUGGAAUGAAUGCUGAUUUUAUUCUUUAAUAAUUAUUGGUAAGAUUGUGAUGUGAGCCUUUGAAUCAAUCCCUUUUUUCCUAUUGUUAUUAUUCCCAUAUUACAUCCCGCCACAUAAUUGAUUUGGGAGCAAAAGUAUUACAGAAAAGUUUGGAAUAUAAAACGCCAAGUGCCAAUUUCCAUCGCUACCUCUUCUAUUUUCAGAAGUGGAUAUGAUAUUGGUAAAAUAAUAUACAAUACUGUAUACCUAAUUAUGAUAUAAACAGGCCACUUUGUACUACAAUUUAGUGAUAUUCCUCUUCACUUAUAAGUGAGAGAUUUUAAGUUCGAUUUUUGCUCAAGGCGAAUUUGAACCACAUUAUUGUUAGCCCAUUGUGAGGUUAGGCCCACCCCCUCUCAUUUAGUGUAGAUAAUAUCAGCUGUUUUAGAAAGAAAAAAAAUUAUGAUAUAAACACAUAUAUAUUAGGUUGAAGAAAUUGAUCUUGGAAUAAACUUUUAAAAUUUAGAUAACACUUUUUCAUUUUUGUUUGGUUAUUAACUUUAACUUCUUCAUUCUUCACCGACGUCUCUCCUAACAACUAACUACUUAAUCCACUGAUGUCGCUUUGCUAAAAACGUUUUGAGCAUGGCUUCAUUUGCUAAAUAAUAUUUGUGAAACCUAUAGUGUCGCAAUGGCAGCAGAGCGAAGCUGCCAAUCACAAAAAAGGGUGAUAUCGCGGUUGCAAACGAUGGUGGUGGGCAUUGGUGAAAGGCCGAGAACAGAGACACCAAACAGCAUCGUUUCAACUUUCUGGGUUCUAGGCUGUCGGCUUGAUGCAAGCCACUUGUUGUGCGGCUCAGGAGCAUAAACCUCGACAUUUGUUUGUAAACUUUGCUAUUAAACAUCAUUGUCUCUUCAAAAUCGUCGUAGUCUUCUCCAUUCACCCUAAUCAAGACUCAACUUUGAAAGCGUAAGCCAAGGCAAGUAAAAAUGCGAAAGGAAUACAUUUUGAAGGAAUAAUGCAGAGCAAAACCAUGAUCCAAGUGAACGAUUCAAUGAUCCGAGUGAAGAGGAAAUCAAAGGCCAAGUCAGUGCCACUUGUCAACAGAUCAAAUAGGUAGUUGUGAGAAGUUUGAUAAGGUUUGUUAAGAAUGUAGUUAGUUGAGAUAAGGUGGUUUAGAAUGUAAUGCAAUAGCUUAGCCUACAAGUCUUGUAAUAACAUAGCUAUAUAGACUACCAUUGUAAUUCAUUACUUGACAAUCAUGAAAAGCAAUUCUAGUUACUUCUGCAUUUCAUCAACUAAGUUUUGUGGUCUUCAUAUGGUAUUAUCGCCGGACUGUCCCGUGCUUCCGCUCAAUCUCUAAGAGCAAGUCCAGCCUUGCAUGUAGGCCGGGGGACAGGGGAGAAGAAAGGGCCCGAGGGCCUGUCAAUCACCUCCAGCCAUGAAGGGCCCGAGCUCGUGGAGAAGGCCCGAGCAAGAGGCCUGUCAAUUUGUGACAGCCCGGCAGCCCGAGCUCCCAGCCUUUUUUUUAUUUUUUUCUGUCAGGCGCGUGCACUCCACUCGCGCGUGGGGGCGCGUUGCCCGACAACUUUUCAGAAAAGCAGUUCGCUUUUCAGAAGGUCUCAGUUACCUUUGGGAAGCCACGUGGCUUCCCACGGUCCGUUCGAUCUCAACGGCUUCUUCAUUUGGACCAUUGGAUCUCAACGGUAAAAAAAAAAAAUAUCUUAUUUAAUAUCAACCGUUCGAUCUGAGAUCAACGGUCGAUAUUAAUAUGCUUUAUAAAUAAAGAAAAAAAAGUUUUAAAAUUAAGAAAAGUUACCGUUGUGACACGUGGCACAAUCUGGAGUGUUGGAAUUCAAAUUUUUUUAAAUCCAACGGCAGAGAUUAAUUUUUUGAAUAAAAAUAAAAAAAAUGGAAAAAAUCCGAAAAAAUUGUAAAAAAUCUGAAAAAAAUUUGUAAAAAAUUGUUUUUACUUUUCUAUAAAUACCACUUCUUCUCCAUCUACCUUACACCACAAUUUCAUAUUUUCUCAACUACUUUCAAUCAAAUUCCUAUCUUUUUCUCAAAGUUUCAAUCCAAUUUUUUUUCCACAAAAUGACUACUGAUGCAGGUACGAAUUGGUCGCUUCUUGAAGAUGUUGCGUUGUGCACUAGCUGGGUUGAAGUUACUCAUAAUUCCCUUACGGGUAAUGAGAUGCAGUUGCGAGAAAUGUGGAGUUUAAUUCAUACCAAAUUUCUUGAGCAAAUGAGUGGGAAAAGAACCAAAGAAUCGAUGUCUAGUCGUUGGAAAAUACUUAGCCAUUCCUUUAGUACGUGGAGAGAUGCAUUGACACAAGCUAGUAGUAAUGUUCGAAGUGGGGCAAAUUAUGCGGAUGAGGUAAGAAUAUAUUAUAAUUAUUUGUUUGUAUUAUUAUUUUGUUACCUAAUUUGAUUAUAAUUAUUUGUUUGUAUUAUUUAUUUGUUACCUAAUUUCAUUAUUAUUAUUAUUUGUUUGCAUUAUUUAUUUGUGACCUAAUUUCAUUAUUAUUAUUUGUUUGUAUUAUUUAUUUGUUACCUAAUAAUUUCAUUAUUAUUAUUUGUUUGUAUUAUUUAUUUGUUACCUAAUAAUUUCAUUAUCAUUAUUUAUUUGUAUUAUUUAUUUGUACCUAAUUUCAUUAUUAUAAUUAUUUGUUUGCAUUAUUUAUUUGUGACCUAAUUUCAUUAUUAUUAUUUGUUUGUAUUGUUUAUUUGUGACCUAAUUUCAUUAUUAUUAUUUGUUUGUAUUAUUUAUUUGUUACCUAAUAAUUUCAUUAUUAUUAUUUGUUUGUAUUAUUUAUUUGUUACCUAAUAAUUUCAAUAUUAUUAUUUGUAGCAACUUCAAGCACAAGCAUGGUAUGCUGCCAAAAUCAAAUCAAGAAACAAAUCAUUCACCCGGUGGGAAUGUUGGAAUAUUGUUAAAGAUUGUCCUAAAUUCAAAGUUGUGCCUGUUGGUCCAGAAGUAUGCAUGAACAGCAUCCCUCUACACAGCACCUUUGUACACAGCACCCCUCCACACUCUACACCCGAUCAUGGCUCCCAUGUUGAUGAAGAAGAUGGAGAAGAAGUGCCUGAAACGCACAUUCCAGAACAAGCGUCGGGGUCGACCCGUUAUCCAAUUAGGCCUCUAGGUAAGAAGGCUUCAAAGAGGAAAGGGAGUGCUUCCAAGAAUGAUUAUGGAAAGUACAUGCAAGAACUUGCUCGUCAAGGUGAAUUGACGUUGGUACGGGAAUUGGCAAAAUAUGAGGCUGAUAAGGCUAGAUAUGAGGUAAAAGCUGCAGCUAUUUAACAAGCAUUUCAAGCUGAACAGAGGGAAAAAGAGCUACUUAGGCAAGAAAGGGAGUUGCUUAGAGAAGAAAGAAUUGCACAACGAGAUCGUGACAUUAUGAACACGCGUUUAGAAGGGAUGUCUUCAAAUUCUAAAUAUUUUUGGCAGUCGGAGAAAGUGGAUGUGGUGCAAAGGAGGCUUGCAAGAGAAGCGAGAUCAAGACAAGAUGGUCCUAGCACAACAAGACAAGAUGAUCCUAGCACCACAGAUUGGUUAAGUGGUGAGGAAUAGGGUACUUUUGUAAUCGGAGCCCAUAGUUUUCCAAUCACUUUGGGUUGUAAUUUAUUAUUUAUGUUGUUUCCAUGUAAUCGGAAUAGGGUACUUUUGUAAUCGGAAUAGGGUACUUAUGUAAUUUAUUAUUUAUGUUGUUUCCAUUUUAUUGAAGUUAGUACUUUAUUAAAAGUGAGAGUACAUGUAUUUAAUUUCGUAAUAUAUUUAUCCUAAUAAUAGAAUCUUUAUUCAUCAAAUUGUUCACGUAUAAUGAAAUUAUAAAACACACCAAAUAAAACUAAAAAACUCACCAAUUGGAAUUACAUAAACACACCAAAUAAAAUUACAUAAACAUACGAAAUAAUAAAAAACUCACUACAAAAAACACUCCAAAAUAAAAUUACAUAAACAUACCAAAAAAAACACACCAAAUAAAAUUACAUAAACAUACGAAAUAAUAAAAAACUCACUACAAAAAACACACCAAAUAAAAUUACAUAAACACACCAAAUACAAACAAACAUACUAAAUAAACUUAAGUAUCUUCAGCUUGUUUCAAUGCCCACUGGUGCUCUAUCAAGUCAAUUUGCCGAUCAUUGUGCAUAGAUGACCUUCGAAGUGCAGUAUAUCGUUGAAUGACCCUUUCAUUGUAACGUCCAUCCCUUUCUAAUGGCUCGUGUUGCACAGGUUCUUCGGUGGCAUCAUGCGCACAAUAUAUCCGUGUUGAAUUGUUCAUUGUGUCUGGCUCUGGCUCAUAUUCAUCAACCGCAUCAUAAUCGAACUCAUCUUCCACAAUCAUGUUGUGAAGAAUGACGCAUGUCAUCAUGAUGGAUCGAAGUGACUCUACAUCGAACAUUCUGGCAGCACCCCUGACGAUCGCUCAACGAGCUUGAAGGAUACCAAAACAACGCUCCACAUCCUUCCCGCACCCCUCUUGACAGCUUGCAAAGUGUUUUUCCUUUGCACUUCACGGACGUGGCACUGUUUUGACAAAUGUUUCCCACCGUGGGUAAAUGCCGUCAGCUAGGUAGUAUGCCCCAUCGUACCUACGUCCGUUGACGACGUACGUGACUUUUGGUGCCUUUCCUUGCAGGACGUCGUUGAACACUGGGGAUUGGGCAAGGACGUUGAGAUCAUUUUAAGCCCCCGGAACCCCAAAAAAGGCGUGCCAUAUCCAUGUAUCAUAAGAUGCCACUGCCUCCAAAAUGAUAGAUUUUGAUCCUUUUCUGUCCCCGUAUGCGCCUUGCCAUGCACUUGGACAGUUUUUCCACGUCCAGUGCAUACAAUCGAUGCUUCCUACCAUCCCAAGAAAACCUCGCAUCUCGCCCUUCUUCAGAAGCCUUUGCAAGUCCUUAUGAGUAGGUUUUCGGAGGUACUCGGCGGUGUACAAAGAUUCGACUGCUCCGUAAAACCUCAUCAGGGCCUUAAGAAUGGUUGAUUUCCCCAUCCUCGUUAUCUCAUCCACUUGGUCUGCAGAUGCUCCAUACGCAAGCAUCCACAAUGCAGCAGUGAUUUUUUGCUCAGGAAGGAGACCCAUAACACCAUAAGCAUCCUUCUUUUGCACAAAGUAAGAAUCAUGGUUGCAAACAUCAGUCAUGAUUCUGUUGAACAAAUGUCGUUCCAUUCUAAAACGACGUCUGAAGUACGUAUCAAGAAAUGCACUGUUAUGGACAAAGUAAUCGUCCAACAGCUCUUCACCCCGUCGCUGCCUGCUUCUAUCAAGGUUUCUUGAACGGUUGGGCCUGCAUAUCUAAGCAACAGUCUGGAUGACUCGACUGGAAUGUGAGGCUCUGGCCAUUCUUGUUUCGUCAUCUCUCCUUCUACGCUCCUCAUCCUCUUCCAUCUCAUUUUCGGCUAUCUGAAGGUUGAACAUUCCUUCAUAUUGGUUAAACAAUUCUUCCUCUUGCUGAUCGAUUUCCCAUAUCAUCCUUGAUGAAGAAGAAGACAUUGUAAUGAUGGAUGGUGAAGAAGAAGCAGAAACUAUGAAUAAUGAGAUAGAGAUGUUGAGAAAAUUGGUGUGAGAUUUGUGAGGAUGGAUGGUGGAUUAUAUGGACGAUUCAGAAAGGAUUGGAUUGUAGAUAAGGCCACGUGGCAUGCCAUCAUUCGUUAAAAAUCUAAUCGAAAUCUAUCCUCAAAGAUUCUGAAAAGAUAAUGACACGUGGCACGAUCGUAUUGGAUAAAAAUCUUAUCGAAAUCGAUCUCCAAUAAUUAUCUUUUCGGAUAAUGACACGUGGCGCAAUUUUGAACGAGUUAAAAUCUGAUCGAAAUCUAUCGUCAAAGAUUCUCAAAAGAUAACGACACGUGGCACGAUGACAUUGGAUAAAAAUCUUAUCGAAAUCCAUCACUAAAUAAUUGUUUUUUUAUAAAAUGACACGUGGCGUAACGAGAAUGAUUUAAAAAAUCUUAUCCGAAAUUAUAAAUAAUUUUAUUUUGUAUUAUUUAAACAAACAAAAAAAAAACUAAUAUUUUAUUACCUAUUGCCAGGGGGGAAGGCUCCAAGGGUGGAGAUGCAAAUGGCAAUUACUGUUCAUUAAUGGCAGUUACUAUUCAUUUAAGGUAGUUACUGUUCAAAAGGGUGGAUUCAAUAGUGGAUUGUCAGAGGGGAGGGCUCCAUGGGUGGAGUUGCUCUAAGCAUUCAUUUCUCUUCUCUACCCUCUAAUUUGCAUUUCUCUAUGAUAAACUGGGAUCGAUAGACAUACCCAUCGCUCAGAAAAUUGGUUUCUUCAUUUCUGCCUACCCACUACUCGAUUAAAAGCUCCAGUGAAAGAUUUCUUCAGACUUCUCAAAAGUGGUUAUUGUCGCUCAGUUUGCAGAUUGUACAAUCUCCAAUCACAAGCCUUCUUUCAAUAAUGUUUACUUCUGUUACAGUGAAACUUGAAGACUCCAACUAUCUCACUUGGAGUUUUGAGAUCAAAUUACUCCUGGAAAGCCAUGGAAUUAUGGGUUUUAUUGAUGGUUCAAGAAAAUGUCCGCCAAGAUUUGACAAUGAUCAACUACUGAAGGUGUAGAAAAAGAUGGCUACUUGGUUUGGAAAAUGCAUGAUCGUGCACUCAUGCAACUGCUCAUUGCUACAUUUUCUACUAUUGACAUCUCCUGCAUCAUUGGAAGCAAAAGUUCAUCAGAAAUGUGGCUAAAUCUCAUAGAAAGGUUUCUUCUGUAAUAAAAGCAACGAUUUUCUAGAUGAAGACAGAACUCCAGAACAUCAAGAAAGGGUCUAAAUAUGUUUUUGUCUAUCUACAGAAGAUCAAGGAUGCAAGGGACCAUCUUGCGGCUGUAGGCGUAUUUUUCGAAGAUGAUGAUAAUAUCAUACUUGCCUUAAAAAGGUUGCCUGCGGAUUUCAAUACUUUUCGAUGUGUGAUCAGAGAAAGGGAAAAUGAGAUUUCUCUCAAAGAUUUCAAGUCUCAGUUAUUGCUCAAUCUUUUGAGUUUGCUUCUUCCUUGUCAUUUGGCAAUGCUAUGGUUGCUGGUGUUCAAUCUGAUAAAGGAAAAGUUCUUGUUCUUGAUCAAGAUUCAUCAGGGUCUACUUUUGAUCAAUCUUUCAAGAACAAUAGAGGGUCAAGUUCUUUUGGUUAUAGCUCUAGCAAUGGCUCAUACAAUAAUUUAAAUGGAAUAUCAAAACUAUGGUGGUAAUACGGGUUAUAAUUUAUGAGGCAAAAGAAGAGAAAGAUCUUAGUACAACUUUGGUCCCACAUUCUCAAAUGGCAAUCCUAGCAUUCUUGGUACACCAAAACCAUAUAAGUCUAACUGUCCUGAUUAUCAUUAUGAAAUCCCUACUUGUCAGAUGUGCAAUAAGAGGGGACAUGUUGAUGCAGAUUGUUAUCAAAGUCAUUACAUAUCAACCACUGGUUCUCCCAUUCAUUGCCAAAUCUGCUGGAAAUUUGGACUUGUAGUGCUAUCAUAUAAGCAACUUUGUUUAUAAAGGGAAACAUCCAACAACCAAUCCCACUACGAUGCAUGCCAACCAUCAACCUUCUGCACCCUGAGCUGUUUUGGAUUAAAGAUACUGGUGCCACUUCACAUAUGACUUCUGAGUUGGCUAACUUGGAACUUGCUACUCCAUAUCAAGGAAAUGACACAAUUACCACUGCGAGUGGUGCAAGUUUGCAUAUUUCUAAUGUUGGCACUCUCAGUUACUAGUUCCAGUUACUAGUUCCAAAUUAUUCACUUGCUCUCAAGAAUGUUUUACAUGUUCCAAAACUAUCUCAACACUUGUUAUCCAUUUAUCAACUUUGCAAGGAUAAUAGGUGCAGAUUUAUUUGUGAUGAUGUUUCUUUUUGGAUUCAGGAUAAAUUCACAAGGAAAAUACUCCUCAAUGGGUUGUGUAGAGUUGGAUACUAUAUUAUUCCAUUCAAAAUCCCAUAGAAGGUGUCACCUACAUCACCCGAAUCACACUCAUGCUUUCUCGCAAAACCAGUUAAUUCAAGCAUAUGGUAUAAACGGCUAGGACACACAUCCAAUGCAAUUACUUUUGCAAUUCUUCAUCAAUCUCAGGUUCUUGCAUCACUAGACACAUGCUCAUCUAUUUGUACACCAUGUUUAAAAGGAAAGUUCACCAAACUACUAUUUGCUUUUUUUGCAACAAAAUAUGUACACCCUUUAUACAUAAUGAUGUGGGGGGACCUACCCCUUUACUGUCAUAUGAAGGAUUUAGAUAUUAUGUAACUUUCAUUGAUGAAUGUACCCGAUAUACAUGGAUUUUUCCAUUACAUAAUAAAGCAAAAGUGUUUGCAACAUUGUUCAAUUUCAUGCCUACUUGUGUACUCAAUUUUUUGCAAAACUUAAAAUAUUUCAAAGUGAUGGUGGAGGUGAAUACAUAACACAACACACACACCAGCACACUGAUGCGAAAUAUAUAAGCACACAAAUUAAACCCUCUUUUUGACAAUUGUAGUAUAGAUGUAAGUAGGGUAUCGUUCUAGGCCGGGGAUUAGGAGGGAUUGCUAAUCUAUUCUAAAUUAAUUUAAAAAUAUUAAACAAGACUCAAGUACACAAAACUAGGCUAAAAACUCUAAUAACUCAAAACACACUUAGAAUGACUCAAAAUAAUGAAAACAAUCAAAUUAGACACUAGGAACUGAAAUGGACGGAAAUUGAAUUAAAAAAAACUAACAACAAUGAAAACUAACGAAAUAAUAUAAUUUAAUAAUGGGGGGGUUUGGUUUUGACGAGAAGUAAAUUAAACUUAAAUAAAUUACAGAAUUGACAAAAACAUGAAAUUAAGGUGAAAGGAUAGGUGAUGGAUUAGCUAGAGGGUUCUUCUCUACACAUGACACAUAUGCAACCUAAAUUGAUUUUCAGUUGUUCUUUCAAUAAAUUGUAAAUCUCAACGUCCCAAAUUAACCGUGAAUUGCACUAAUUAACCCUCAGUUUUUCCACAAGUUAUUGGGUUGGAUGAUUGCAUACGACAACCCAAAACAUUCCCUACAAGUUCCCUACAUGAAGUGCAUAAUAGAGAUACAAGCAAGAAUCAUUAAGUUCUAUGAAAAACAUAAGCAUUGACGAGGCACUCGUUACUAUGAUUUGCAUGAAACUUAUGCCAAGAAUUUACUUAACGUGAUUGUGACUAGCAACCUUCACUACUUGUGAAUAUAAGUUCAUAACGAUUAGGUGAAAUUUACUUAUAUUCUAGCAUCAAAUUCAUGCAUGUAAAUUAAGUAUGCAUCCUUAAUCGACAUACAAAAAUAAGUUAUCAAUCAAGCAGUUAAGCAAAUUAAAUCACAACUCAGAAAUCACAACUGAAGGUAAUCAAUUCAUAUUACAAAUAUAUUCAUGGCUUUGAAUUAACCUCUAGCCAAAAUAAAUUUAGUUACACAUUUUUAUCAAAUUAAACCAAAAGUAAAACAUAAGUUUGGAAAGAUUUAACCGAAAGAUGAGUGAAUUGGCGCUCCACAGGUUCUGCUCUCUGCAUCACGCUGCCCAAGAGGCAGCACACCUCCCUUUCUUCGCGCGCCUGACCUUGCUGUCCUGACUAAUCUCUGCUUCUGCUCUGCGCAGUAGCUGCUGCCUCUCUCCCCGCCACCUGUCUCUCACUCACCUCCCUUAUAUUUUCCGCAUGGCAAGUCCCUGACUUGCUCUCCUGCCUUCACUCCCCUCUGACUUCUUCUCGCUGACCCCGUGCUGCCAAAGGCAGCUCCCUUUCUCGUCAGUCCUCUCCCGAGGCUCUCUCUUUGCUGUCCCGUACUUCUCCCUUUUAUUUCCUCGCAGUCUUCUUAAUCCCUUUUUCUCGCUGACCCCCCUUCCCAGCUGCCAAGGGCAGCUGUUUUUAUUCUCUUUCUUUCCAGCUGCAAAGGCAGCCUUUUUCUUUCUUGUUUCUAAAAUUAUUCCCCCAGCUGCAAAGCAGCUCUCUUUCCUUCCUCUCGCCCUCUUUUCUUUUCUAUUCCGCUCCCAUUUCUUUUAUAUAUUUCUUGUUCCAUCCGCACCUCCACGUUCAGCCUUCCACCUAUUACUCUUAUUUUAUUCUCUCCCCACGUCAGUCUCUACCUAUCUUUUUAUUCCAUUCUUCUCUCGCUGCCAGCCUCUUCUGCUUGUCCUCUCGGCUGUCCCCCACUGCUCUCUUUCUUUAUUCUUUUCUUCACCUCCAGCUGCAACGCAGCUUUCACACUUCUUUCUCUUGGAUUCUCGCUGUCUUUCCUUUUAUUUUCAUUUAGUUUCUAGCAGCCUCACAUAGCAGAAAAAUAAGUUCUUUCGAUCAUGUUACUCCUACAAACACAAUAUAUCAAAAGUAUCAUAAAUACUUAAAGCUUCCAACUAAAUUA
rnacentral:lncRNA from 1 species